UCGAGUGUGAUCAAAAACCUAAAAUCAGACAAUUACAGAGCGGCCAGUGAUUGAGUGAUAGAUUUCUCGACGUCCGGAGAACGCUCGACCGAAGAAAUGAGUAACUAACAAGGAAGAUUUUGUUCCCCAACUUGCUUGAUUAACGGGCAUUUUCGGGGACUAGCCCGCUUCUUCAUUAAAAAAGAGGGCGAUUGCCCGGUCCUUGGAAUCAUUUUAGAUCGUAUCCCCAAGCCUGCCUCCACUUUCUUAUGUGAAAGAGGUGCUUGCUUUAUGAGACUGAAUGGAAACCUUCUUUCUUCGAUCAGAAUACGAAUAAGAUCAAAAAGGCCAUCAUUGGGGCAAACAAUGCAAUAGCUUCGGUUAGAGCAAAGCCCAAAAUGGCAUAACCAAAUGAUUGUUUAGCCAAUGAUGGAUUUCGCGCCACAGAAUGAAUCAAAGAACUGAAUACGUUUCCAAUACCGAUAGCAGCUCCCGCUGAAGCAAUUGUAGCAGCUCCGGCACCUAUUGAUUUUGCACCUUCUAACAUCUCGGGUUGAGAAUUAUACUCACGCUUUGUCAUUCACUUAUCUUAUAUCUUAUUGAUUCCUCGUCGAUUCUUACCCUCGUUCCUUUGAUCUUGGACAUCUCACUUGGAAUGCAUUCUUUGCGAUCUUAUACCCACGGAGUGGUAGACUGAAGACCAACUGAAUCUCGACAAAGAGAAGUACAAGCAAGUAGAUCAUUCGACGUCAGAGGGAAUGACUCGUAGCUAGGGUCCCAUCUCUCUUCGAUUAUUCAAUUUGAUCCGUCUUCGUCUUCUCUUAUGAAAUUGAUAGUUUGUGAGAUCGAUUACUCAUAAAUGCUGCCCUUCUCUUAUAUACGAGAGCACCAGAUACACCAUGGAUGGAUACAUACGAUUUCACUUAUCCCAAAAGUAAAGAUCUUAUUCGUAUUCUGAUCGAGGAAAGAAGGCGAGCUAGUUCAACUCAAUGACAACCUCUAGGGCCAAGCCUAUGGAAAGCUUUUCCAAUCUCCUUCCGCAUUCUUUCCUUUAAUAUGCUUGUAUCACAUACCAAUAAGACAUAGGAGGAUCCGAUAGAUUUCAAUCACAUACCAAUAAGACAUAGGAGUUCGUUCCGAACAGAUAAGAUGUUAGUUGGCUAUCAAUCUUCUUUAGCACGAGUCGAUCCCUAUUCUUCUAUAGUUGGUGAGAACUAUGACUUGAACCUGCUCCUUACUUCAAUCUUCUUUUCAAUUCAGAUAUGGAUGGUAAAGUCCAUUCAGAUAUAGAUGGUAAAGGAAGAUCAAGUUACUCGGCUAGACCAUUAUCCAAAGAAUGGAAAGCUAAAGCAAGUCAAAGAAUCAGUCCCAUAAUUGAAUGGCAUCGUCCUUUCUUUCCCCCAUGAAUUGCUUUCUCUCGUACUCAUGCGAUCCCGUCCGACCCCUUUCUACUUGAACUCCUGGUUUUGAUGCUGUGACUUCCCCCAUGAAUUGCUUUUUCUUCUUUUCUUGCUUUCCUGCGUUGCGUACAACUCCUUCUCUUAUUAGAGGGCUCUCACGGCUCCUAUGGUUGAGGAGCGUUGGGCCCAUUCUAAGUUGGAGCGACUCUCCGGAAGAAUUCCUUUGAAGAAAGAUCCAAGCACUCAACUUGAUUGGAGAAGUUAGCGAAAGAGUCUCGAGAGCAAGGCGUUGAGCGGAUCGACUUUUGCUUUCCCCUAAUAAUCUGAAGGGAACGGGUGAGAAUGAAGUUCAGGCUAACCACAGCUCCUUUCGUUUCAGUGGGGGUUGCAGUCUAAUGAGAAAUGAGGGUUGAUCAUCGAUCUGUAGCGAAUCUUUUCUGCCAAUUGACUUUCUUGUCCUUCGCCCUCUAAGCCAUUGGUUAAGUUGGUGAGUCUAAGUCUAAAGAGUAGGGGCGUAGCGAAUUGACUAUUGUGAUCUCUUUAGCUUGAAAUAGGCGCUGGAGUCUGUCUGAGUAUGUAAAAGAUGUGGUGGAUAGGAUAAGAAAGAAACCUUCUACAUCAGCUAAUUCUUCUUCCACGAGGGACUCAAAUAAAGGAGGAUCGGUUUCUUUCCCGUUCAUCGUAUCAUAGGAUUGGGGGUCUCUUCCUGUCCUGAAGAAGCAGCUCUUUGCCUUUCUGCUUCAAAGAAAGAGGGGGAAUGAGCAGAUCAAGCCUUUCCCUUCAUGCACUAGAUGGAUCACUUACAAUGACCAAUACUCCUCGUGAGAAUCUAAGGCGCUUAAGGAAGCAUCUCGAAUCGGGCGUGAAAAAGAUCCAUCUUUGAUUUAUUUCACACAAUUUCGCAAUGUCAACUUGCUCGAUGUAGGCUUGCUCCCAUAUUCUCCACGGUUUAAGGCAAGAUUGGUGGGAAAGGGAUAUUCUCGCAUCGAUUACAAUGAAAUAUUCUCUGUAGCCGACAUAUGUUCCAGUUCGCCAAUAGUAUCCAUCGUUCACAGCUUCUGCCCCUUUUUUGGGGGGCACCCAGCAGUUUACUGUUAAGGACACUAUCGACUUACUGUGAUAUGUCUACAGUCAAAAGCUAGUACUUUAUGGGUAGCAUCUUUAGGGACUCAGAGAUCAGGAAAACUUGAUAGAAAGCCCUAGCUCUAACUUGAUAGAAUGCCCCAGCAAUGGCCAUCGGAGAGGUCCAACGUAAUUUAUUACUCUUAUAAAAGAGGGAACUCGACUGAAAGGAGAGAAGAUAAAUUCCAUUUACAGGCUUUCUACCAAUGACCGGAGACCAGAAAGGGGAAUAGAAGAGAUAAGCCUUGAGCGGUCAGACCAAUUACGAUCGAUUCGCUAAACAUUCAAGAUUCUCGAGAUGAACUGCUAAAAGAAGGAAGGGCGAUAGAGAGAGGUUUUUCACUUUCAACUAAGCUAAGGAGAUUCGGGAUGGGAACCCGCACUCUUUUGACUGAGAGGCGUAGGAGAUAGGGAGUUCCCCGUAAUCCGAAAUAUGAUUUAGUACAGAGGCCGGCCGACCCCAAAGUCCUCCAAGUACUCACUCCUUUCAACGUCCCAAGGGGCAUUAAAGACAUAGAGAUCUUGGAACCAAGGUGUCCUCCUAUGGAAGGAAUAAGACCUUGAAACAAGACCCCCAAAAAAGGGUCUUUAUGGGACCUUUGUCAAGGUCGUUCGCUCUGGGCUUUGGGUUCAACGGGUCGCUUUGAAAAUAAAUAGUCUCAUCACAUCUAAGGUGCAAAGAUUGACCUCGAUGCAUGUCAAAUUUUGAAUGCCUCAUGACCUAUGGUUCGGUCGUGGAAAACCACCAAAGGGUGGUUGGUUGAGAUCUUAAGGAAGAAAUACCGACCCAAAGAUCUGGCAUGUGUCCUUGAGUCCUCUUCUGCCACGUGUCGCAGGGCAGCAAACCUAUAAAAAGGGAUCGUAUCCGAGAAAGUACUCCUGCUAGCACUGAGUGUCUUCUUUCCACUAGGCUGAAAUACGGCUGAUUUCUCACCCGUGCGCACGCAUCUCGCUUCUGGCUCCCUGACCGAUACGACCUUUCUGGGUUUGUUAACAUCCUUCCUUCUCCUUUUGGGUAUUUGCUAUCUUGUGGUCCCUGAUUCUUAGGCUGACCACGUGGUCCUCUUGCGACGUCUGUUGGGAGGUAGCAUCCAAGGUCCGAAAGGCCUUUAUUCCGACCCGACUUGCGGAUCCGGGUUUGGGAGAACCUCCUUCGCCGCCGGUGAGUUUUCUACAUCAGUCUGGUUUUGCUUCGGACAAAGCUCUAUCCGGUGGCCAUAUUCCCCACACUCAAAAACAUAUAAGAUGCAAGCCUUCGUAUUCGACCCUCUGGAUGUCAUCAUUAAGACAAAACUGGGAACUCUUUUUGAAUUUGAAAUCUACCUCCACACACACACGUGCAUAUAGACCCCUAGAUGAAUCCACUGUGCAUAGAUCAGCCCGGACUGCUUUGACCAGUUUCUUUUCUUCCCAAAAAAAUCUGGUUCAUUAACAAAUUGAAUCGUGAUCACUGGGGACGUCUCCUCUCGUUUGACUCGAGUUGCCUUUAAGUCUCCUAAUCACAUGGAUAUAGGUGGGUUAAUUGUUCUUCCUUUCGGAUGAGCUAAUUGAAUCAGAUGAAGAUAUGAGAUCAGUUCAGUCUCAUUCCGUAAAGCCAAAGACGACAUUCCAUUAAAGAUAGAGUGGGUCGACCUUUCAACCAGGACGGUUGGGUGCGCUAAAGCAAAGGCGUCUUAUCAAGGGCCUGCCGCUCCCCUCUUUAGUUGUGACAAGGGAGUGUGCUUAUGAUUCUACUUUGUUGCUAGACCAGGUCUUAAAACGCAAUUAUGACUAGGUCGGGACUGACGGGGCUCGAACCCGCAGCUUCCGCCUUGACAGGGCGGUGCUCUGACCGAUUGAACUACAAUCCCAGUUUUAAAAUUAUUCUUCUUGUCAACCUUCUUCUCAUACGAAAUUUCAAAAGAAAGAAGUAGAGUCGUUGGACCAACAACCGCCAGGAUAAAAUCUGUGUGAGCGGGGCAAAGACACCUGUUUGUUUUCCGAGCGAGAAAGAGAUAAAUUGGAGAUUGUGUAAUAUUACAUCCAAUCUUCCUUGAGAGCUGGAAAAAUUCCAUGAAGAAGAGCUCAAAGUAUUCGUUCCCAGUCGGAUUCUCUAAUUAAGAUAUAGCAGUCAACCAUCAAGAAAUCAUCAACUAUUUCACCGGGGAUGAGCUCUAUGGCUAUUCUAUUAAGUAAGGAUCAACUUAGGCCUUAGGCUUAAGCUAGAACUGCUCCUUCUAUCACAUCGGAUUCUAGUAAAGAGAUGGGCCUUCUCGUCUGAUCUCUGCAUCAACAGGAAUGCGGGAAAAGCUUCUUCUCGCCCCAGAGUCCCUAGCAGCCUUAAGCCCGCUACGCCCCUUUAGUUGAACUGGUUGCUAUAUAGGUCAAUUGAAUCUUAGCCAGUUUCUUCUUACUCCUUUUGUUCUCAUUCCCGGCCAACCGUGCCAUGAAGAGUCGAGCAAGAGCAAUCGCAGCUUUAUCUCUGCCUUUGCAGCUCCCAUUCCUGCCUUAUAAAAGCUUCAAUCUACAAAAGUAGAACUACUGAUGACAGGUCUGGCCUACAACUGACUUGCUUUCAGACUUACUGGCUGAAGAGCAAAGAGAUAUCUAUUUUACAGUAAAUUCCUCUUAGAAUAGCAUCCCGCUCUUUAUAGGUUUAGUAAUGCUACCUUGAGCCCAACGAGUGUAAUACCUGGAGCGAGUAAUAGAGAGGACAGAAGAUAUAGACUUUUUCUUUCCUUUCUGGCUUGACCAUGAGGCCAUGACUAUUCAAAUCUUACAGGAAGCAACCGCUGUACCCCGCCUUCUAGCUCUUAGACUUUUAGAAGGGGGUUCCUCCGGCGCCUUGUUCCGUUAGUUUACUUUUCAUUUUAAGUCUUGUAAGUUAGUUAUGUCUUUCAAGGGAUAUCACCAUCCCCCGCACCUCUUAUUGGUGGAAGCGCGGGGCGUUGCAACCAUCAUCCUUGGACCCGGAAUAUAGAGUUCUUCCCUGGUACCUGGAGGAUGGAGAAGAGAAGGCAUUGUCUUUCCUUGAUGGAAAACUCUAUGGUAUAGCUAUCAUUAACGGAGGAAAUUAUCCUUCCGCACCUUGAUCUUUCUAGGGCUAUUUUCACUAAGCCGAAUCUGUGGACUGAGUGGCUAACUAUUCUAGGAGUGGGGCUUUUCUUUGUAUCGAGAAAAUCUUUUGUUAACAGUUCAAACUCCCUGGCACCAUCCCCUGAAUAAGGGGCUGGGGGAGGUUUGACACCCUCCCAGAUCACUUGAGCACAAAGCUUUAAAAGGAGCAAUAGUGGUCCUGCUAACGAGGUACUAUGCCCGGUUGGUGGACUUUCCUUACCAAAGUGGCAACACAGAGGUUUGGUCAGAAAGCUGAUAAGGGUAUGACAACCUUACGGAUUAGGCAAUACCUAAUCUUACUGGUUCUUCGUCAGAGCCGGGCGCCGUCCAUCACGUGGCGUUUGUCCACGGGUCAAGGAGAGUAGAACCGGCGGGGUCUUUCUUAGUGUUUUGUGGUACAUACCAAAAGGUUUGUCAUUUUAUACCGAUUGAUAUGGCUUUCAAUUUGUUUACCACAUUCACCGAGAGGCUCCGCUUGGUCUCUUGGCGCAGUGUUUUUGAAGACACUCGGUCACUCCGGCGUUUCCUCAUUCGGAUCGCCUUAGUGGCUACUGGGCUCGUUAGUAAAGAAUCAGCGAUUGUUUGUCACGUCUUAGCAGGCAAAGUACUUAGAAUGUACAAGACAUCGCGGGACCCUUGUUUGCGUAUUAUUGUAAGUCUGCCUUUACUUAGUAUUUAUUUCCGACCCGACUCCAUCGCUAAGUCGAAUAGAAAGCAAAGACCUUGGAAAGAAAAGAUCUUUCACCCGGAUUCCAGGAAAAUGAGCUGCCAUUAUGAACCGCUACCAUACCAGACCAGAUUUGACAGACAAGCUCCGUUGCAAGAGUAUUCCAUCUAUCCAAAAUCCCGCAAACGCUUGGAGUUGGAUCCACAACAAAACUCAACCGUGGUCGUCCAGCACGAUAAAUUUUGAACUUACACCGAAUCGCGAAUCCCGUGCAAUUGAGAUUUUCUAGUUGAAUUCAUUCACAAAACCCCGGGAAUUUUAGAUGAAUCACUCCAUAACGAAAAGUGCUAAGGUCCUCUCAUUUACUAUUUGCGUAAGUUAGUUUUUUAUAUAAAAGAGGGCAAAACUGUAUGAAAAAGUUGCUAAAACUCGUCUUUUUUCGUUACUUUGACCGGGAUGUAAAGAUGUAUUUUAUAACCUUGUCUGAUGCUGACCACAUGCAUUAGGCAACUGUUCAGCUAUUACUCACGUUAGCUGCAUCUCUUCCGAGACCAGGCCCUUUUCUCACUCGUCGAUGGAGAACCUCACCCUCAGGCUCAAAAAUCGUCGUUCUUACGCUUUCGGGGGUCUCCCUCUCUACAGUGAGGUUCUGUUUGAAGUUAUGAUUGAGACAAUGAGUCACAGGUCUUUCUUUUAUUCCCUUGGAAAUGAAUCACCAAGAAAAAGGUUAUUCAUUAGCAACAAAAAGAGUAAGACAGCCCUGUCGGGCUCCUGCAGUUAGAAGAAGAGCGCGACCGGAACCAAGCAUAAAAGAUUGACUGUGAUGCUACGUGCAUACACUGAUCACUACGGAGAAGAGAAAAGAUGUCAUAAAGCAUGGGGGGGACCAUCGACUUCCCCCAAAAACUAUUGAUUGGGAUCGAUAUAACAGAGUGUGCUCGAUAGGAAUCACUAUUAUGUCCCCGAAUAGAAUGUAUGUCACCUUUUUCUUUCCCUUUUUGACCAACCUGCCGCGUAUAGUUUAGUUGUUUCUUUAUGCGAGGGUUGAUGAUUCUCCAGUUUCGGAUGCCUCCGGCUGGGAAGAAGCCCUAAUCUUCGAGUCAGGAGAUACCUUGAGAACAGUGAAAGCGGAAUCCUACUUUAUUUAGUUUAAAAGAAGGCUUUGUCUCGUCCCUUCCCAUUGUAAUUGUAGGAGGGAAAGUAAAAGGAGUUAUUUUAAACCACCCUGCCCCUAGCCCUACCAUGGAAUAAAGAUAUAGCCCUAUAACCUGGUUUUCAGCAGAUCUAGAAUCUACUGCCCCUCUUUCAACAAACUUGCUUGCUAUCCCAGCGCGUCUAUCCUUAGUUGUCGUGUCUAGCAAGCGAGAAAACGUAACGCGCUAACGAACGCACUUACGUAGUAACCCCUACGCUUGCUGCUGGCGCUACCUUGGAUACGCCAACCCAGCGAGUAAGGGAGUGAGUCUGUCCAAAGAAGCUCUUAAGAAGCGGAGUUUCACUCGACAAAAAAGGUUUGGACUGAAACCAUUUUCAGACGGAAUCGACUGACUUCUAGUUGCAUCGGAUCUAGAGAUCUGUUGCCAGUUCCGAUAGAAGGAAAGGAGUAAGGUUUAGGCUUUACCCAAUAGUUGUUGAACUCGAGGUUGGUAAUAAACUGAAGCUGCUCAGUCUUCUAGCAUAGCGGAGUGAUAUAUAUCGAAGAAUGAACUUAGCCUUCAACCACAAAUGGGGUCCUUUAGGCAGCCGAUUGCCCGUUUGCUUCCACUGACUUACGUCGUGAACAUUUCUCCAACCCGUCAAUGAAAUGAAGAGAAAGGCAACAGGGGAACAAGGAACCAGGGAAAGACCAACACAACUUCCUUGACUUCCUAGGCUUAGAAACCCAUUCCUAUAAACGGGAAAAGCUUACUAACCUUACAACUCUGGAAGGGAUUACUUUCUUACCAACUGACAUGGCUUACCUGGCUUACCUUACUAACAACUAACAAACAUUCCUGGGAUUACUUCCUGACAGGGCUUAGCUUACUUACUAACCUUCCUUACACGGAAUUACAGGGAAGCCAACACCCGGGAUGUUCCGAGUGAAAGUAGAAGUUUAACCGGAACUGUCGAAAGAUUACUACAGAAGAACCCAUAAGAUGUCCCUUACAUAUACCGAUGUAAACAAAGAUCUGAACGAUUGAGAGAAGGAAGAUAGAGAGUAUGAUAGGGGAAAGGAUAGCAGUAGAGCUCUUAUAUACCAAAUUCAAACGGUUAUCCUCCUAGGCUAGUAAACCUAGUCGGAAUGAAGAGUACGGGAGAAGGAAGACAGAUUAGGAGAGUGUUCAGUGGAUACAAAGAGACCAACAGUUCUUCGGAAGCAGAAGGAAAGAAAGCAGGAGAAACACAAACUGACCGAGCUAGCGAUGUUCCUAUUAGGCUUGGAGAACUACUCGGAGGAUGAAAGAAAGAGACAGGGAACAAAGCACAGUAUACAUCCUACUAGAGCUGCUAACCGGUAUUCCUCGGUGGUUCCGUCCUUUAAGCCAGAUUAUUAAGUAAGAUAUGGUUUGACCCUUUUCCUUUUUGUUUUCAUUUUCAUCUGGAAAACACCCGGAACCAGAGCAUGAAAUAACCUUUCUUUUUUGUAUGACUGAGAGGAACGCCUCAGGUCGAAUGAAUACGAAAGGGAGAUCAAUCAAAGAAACAAAAAAGGCCAUGAAUGAAGAAGUUGGGCCUUUCACCCUCUUUCUAGUUACUCUGGGAGCUGAUCUGAUAAAUGCACUUCAAAGGGAGGGAAGGCUAGGUCUUUCCCAUCUUGGUAUGGCCGAGCAUAAAAGAUUUGAAAAUCAAGUCAAAAUAAGAAAAGGUAGAGAGAAAACUGAACGAAAGCGGUAGCCCCCGUCAGGGCAAGAGAAAUAAAAAAUAAGGACUCUUGUUUUCCGCAUACGCAUAUAGGCUGUGAAAAAUAAGUCUACUUUUUUUAAUAGAGAAAGUGAGUGAUUCGUCUACUUUCUUAAUAAGGUAACGGAACGAACUUCAAGUCCUUCGUAGGACGCCGCCGUUUGCUAAGAUGUGCUUCCACAUCGUGAGUCUUUAGUGCACAAGUCGUCGAAUCCCUUAAAGGAAAGGUUUGGGGCAGGAGUAUCGACGACAAGUCGUGCCUGAAGUUGUUCAUGCACAUCUUGAGGAGCUCUUGCUAAGUAAACUUAUGGGGACAGGCAAAAGUAAAAGCUCGCCACCUUGCAGUGAAUUCCAUGACAGGUUCAUUAUACCUUUGCUUGGUUUUUAGUAGUUCGGGCACUCCAACCCUUCUUUGUGUGUUGCUGAACUGCUUCCUGAACUCCGAGACCCUUGCUUCCCAAGUCGGGAUCGACUCUUCAGAGAGGUGGAGGUACAAAGGAAAAAACACUGGAAGGAGAGGUAGUUUACUGGCUAGAGAGAGUCAGAAAGCAGUUUAGUAAGGUAGUUUACAGGCUUUCUUCCUUUCUUCAAUGCUUGAGGGACUUCUUUACCGUCUAACCUAGCUAGAUCUGAGCUACCUUAAUCCGUUUGUAAGUAAUGGAGUAAGAGUUACCUGGAUUGAGACAGUCUGAAGCUUUCAGCCCUUAGGUCCAAUUCCAGCUGCUGUUGCUCUCUCAGGACUUCCUAGGUAAAUCGAGUAUGUGAAAAAAAAUUGUCAAUAAAUUCUCACACAUAGUCAAACACCUUAUACAAUAGGUUAUCAGACUACAUCGAUAGUUGCUUGAAGCCAAUAGUGGGUAAGUGUUAGAUGAACGAACCCUCUUGUGGAUCGCUUUCUCUUGCACGUUAAUUAAUCGAUAAAUUGCGUAUGUAAGGUCUGCUGGUCUGUCAAGGAGAAUCAAGAUUCGACGGGACGCUAGCGCCCUAACAAUAACAAGAGGGAGUGCUAAGCUAGGGUUCAAAUCCAAUAGUAGCUAGAACCAGUGAAAGGGUAGUUCACCAGACCCGCUCACGAUAAUGCGAAUGAAAGGGCAGAUAAGCCUAUUACUAGUUACGACGAGAAGAUCCUAACAGGCCGGUUUACAACAGAAAAAGAAAAGAUAAGGCUUGAAGACCUAUUAGUCGAGGAAUUGGCGUUCCUCGGGGAUGAAAAGGAAUUGAUCUGACCCAAUCUAUUGAUCCGGACGGGACUACGAAAGAUUGACUUUCUUCCUUCAGCUUGAAAGCGGGAAAGAAAGGAAUAGACAGAAGAAAGUAUUAGAGAGGAAUAAGCGAGUGUCAGAGUAGUCCUAACCUCAGUUGACCGAUGAUGGUUCUGCUGGUUCUUACUUGAAUCUCUUGCUUUGAGAAUAAUACUUCAAAAAAAUGCUUUUAUCUUGCGAUGUCACCACUCGCUUUAUAUAUAGUAUAGGACUAGACCAACUUUCGCCAAUCUUCGACCGCUGGCGUAUAUGAAGCACGUUUUCUCCGUCCCUACCUCCCCUGCACCCGGCCAUGGAUCAAGACUUCUUUCUGGUUCUCCUCCGGCACAGGAAAGUAGGUUCGUGGCUCUCCGUCUCCUUUCUUGAUGAAGUAAGGAUUCAUUUAUUUUGUGUCUAGUCGAGUACUUGGAAGAACCCCUUGGAAUGCUUUUCUAUUUUCAUUCAGCGCUACGCCCCUUGUGCCAACCCUUUUCUCGUCUAAUAAAGAAAGGAGUCCCGGGCCCUACCUCUACUGAAUGGACUUCUACAGCUAACGAUCCCUGCUAACAGCCGGCCUUACCUUAAGUUGGAACGAACCUAUCUCAACCCAUCCAUCUUCAUUCGAUCGAUAUGGGAUCCUUAUUCCUUAUAUAAUAUAUCAGAAUCUUAUCUGUUUAACCAGCUGAUAGGCAACUACACUCCCUUUUGUAUGCAUGCUGGUAAGACUGAUAGACUGUCAUUCUAUCCCUUUUCUUGAAAGAGCGUAUAUGAUGGUUAUGAAUGGAAAAAUGCAAUGAUUGAUCCCACAGCGCUUUAUUUAGCAUGCUAUACAGUAGUAAGGUUAUAUGAAAACAGACCAUGAUAUAGACAAGGGGCUAGAUCGUGAUAAGGGCAUUAUAGAAAAAAUCCCUAAUUCAGGCAGUGGCCCGUCAUGACUUUAUCUCAAAGGAUGUAAUAGGAGCUAAUGGAAGAAGGAUAAUGUGAUCAAUCUCCAGUCCUUUACACCCUCCUGACUAUGCCCCUUGUGGUCAACUGAGUCGUGCAGCACAUCUUUUCGUAUCUUGACUUGGUACUAUCUCCUUUUCUAAUUCAUCCUGUAAGCAGGUUUGAGCGCUUUGACCAUCUAUAAAAAGCGAAUCUUCCUACUCCUACACCUCUCCUGUGCUGUGGGGCUUGGCUGCGUAGAAUAUCUAUCUUGUUCAUGUCCCUGCCCGGGAUUUCUUCCUUGGCUGUAGCUUCGCUCCUUGGGUCUACUCCCCGUUUUUCUGGAAGGUUCUACCUAGAUGCCGGAGGAACCCAUUCCCUUCGUUGAUGUUGUAGCUUUCGUUGUUUAGAGGGCGCAUGAAUGGGGCAGCUAAUUAAUUGCAUAGUAGUGCUGCUGUUCCUGCAAGCACGAAGUCCGCGCUGUAGCUUCUGUCAUUUCAUUAGUAUUCCUCUUCUCCUCCGUUGGGAAUAGGUUGCAUUAAGGGAACAGGUAUGUAGGCUUUAGCCGGCUUCUCCCUGUGCUUACAUGGGGUUUAUUGCAGCUAUCCCCUCGCAUUUGUAGCUCUUGAGCAGCCAAGCUCUAAUCAAUAGGUUCUAAAGUCGACUUCGUCUCGUUAUUCUGUGUUAGGUUUGUAAACCUAAGGUGUACUUCCCGAGGAACGCCAGUUAGUCGACUAAAGGGAGAGGAACGCCUAUCUACGGUUUAAGCAGUCUAAUCUCACUCUCUCGUCCAGAACAACUUCUUUGGGUUUACUUUUCUGUACAUGGAGGGGCGGAGCGGUUCUGUUAGGUUGUUUUAUUGGAUUGCACUGGGCAUUCACUGCGAGCUCUUCCGAGGAACCCCUUGAACAAACAAAAAAAAGGGUAAUUAGUUCUGUUUUAACAGACCCCUUGUUCCAUAGCUGCUCCCUAUCUCGCUAAGCUACCUAACAAACAGUCUCGCUCUAUCUCGCUAACUUACUGACGACCUACCUAACUUUUCUCUCUCAAUAACUCUCUCGUCUAGGGCAUCCGCGCCUGAGAAUGCUGUAAGCUCCCUCUCCUCUCUAGACAAGUGCUUGAGUCAUGACUUCGCCCUCUCCUUUUCAGUCGAGUUGCUAAAGCACCUCUCGCCAAGACGUCUUUUCCAGUGUCGAUCAUCUUGCUUUCCCGAAUUCGUUAGAUUGCCACCAGUUCCAGAAUUGGGAGAACAUAGGAUUGGUAGUUGGGCUCUGCUCGCUUGGUUGGUCAUUCCCUUCUGUCUUGGUUGAUGGAUAGGUGAGCGCAUGCGGUUACUUCCGAACGAACCGGUCGAUGGCAAGCUUUAGCUUAGCUGGCUAGCGGAACAGAAGAUGGGUUAAUGGGCUCUUAAGGCUUGGGAUUUUAUCCACUCGAUAGGAAACGAUCUUCAAAGAAGACACCUCUCCCGCUUCUGUGACUCAGCUUCAUCGUACAAGGGACUUUUAGCUCAUCAUUCCACUUCGACUGGUAGGGGUUUUCUAUUAGUGCACUUCGGUGGGAAUAAGUCUUCCUCUUUUCUUUCGGAAGGAGAAAAAGAUGCUUCAUUUGGUUCCCUCGGAUCGGUAAAUCCGAAUUCGUGACCCAAACUCUAUCUAGUUUAGUUACAUCAAAGGUGGCUGCCGAAUAAAAGGGGAAACUUUGCCUGCCAGAUUGCCUUCGGUAACCCUAACCCAGUUAUCAAAAGAAGGCGCCGGUUCGGCUUUCAAGAGAGGGGAGCGAGCUACACAUAGUGAAGCGAGUAUUCGAUGAACACGAAGGCUUUGAUGAAAGGAAAAUUGACAUUUCAAGUAGGUAAAGUAGGGCGCUUAGGCUGGCUGAAAACAGAUAAAGGAGACAUCAUGUGCUUGGACGAGUUCCUCCGAGGAAUGCCUUAGACGGAUGAAUCCCGCUGGUAAAUACGGCGGGAUAGGAUCCACUCUUGCAGCUGAACUUCUUUGUCUAUUUCUCUAUAACCUCGUAUAUCUUUUUACUGCGCCCGAGAAAGAAAAGAGCAAGGGUAAGGGCCCCGGGAGAAGCCACUGACUGCUACUUCCUCUGCUACAACUGGUGGUUAUGGAUGGAGAAAAAGAGGGGAGCUUUCGAUUUUUAGGAACUUCUUCUAGUUAGUAGCGAUGAAUUAGAAUGAGAGGAUCCAUCCAAAUUGGGGAGAAAGAGACGUAUCCGACGAAAGCAAGAUCUAUGAUAAUAGAUUCAGUAUGGAUUCUCUUGUAGGUAAGUUUUAGCUUGAGCUUGAUCAGGAUCCAAUCUGUACUAUAUAUUUUGAAACAUUUGUGAGAUGCCAAAGAGAGUUCGAACAAGGUUUUGAAUCAACAGGAUCUAAUCUACUGCUACCCCUCGAAAUGGAAUUGGUAGGAAUGGAAUGCCGUGAACCCAGGAUUAGGCCUCGUUAGCUCGCUUACUCUUAGUAUAGCAGGUAACCAACCUUCUUCCCUUUAUGGUCUAGCUUUGAUUUCACUCAGAAAAGAAGAAAAUGAUAGGACCUUGAUUCUGUCAAAAAGUGAGUCAUUUUCCUCCUCAAAACCCUAUACCCCGUAAGCCAUCUAGCCCCUUUUUCCAUUACGUAAGCAGUUCGAAGUCUUCAAUGUAUUACAUUCCUUCAUCCGGGGAGGUUUUCAUAGCCUAAACAGAAUGGAAAUCAUAGGUCUCUCCGUAUGUACCUUUAGCGCUCAGUUCGGAAGUAGAUUUCUUUCGUUCCUUCAGUUGCAGCAAGGACUUAUUUAGCUCUUUCUUUAGUCUCUAUGGCUUGGUGAGUUGUCCAAAGCCAAGGGGCCCUACACUUAACAAGGGAGCCACUCUGCCAGAGCUUCACUCUAGGCCUCUCACGUCGGUAGCUAUCCGUAGAUCACUAUUGGACGAUCUUCAUCUUUCUCCGAAUUAUACUCUUCUUUCUAUCUUGUUGCGGGGAAGUUCAGUCAUAUAGAAGGUCUAAUCACGAGCAGUUCCAAUCCCAGCCUGCCUAGGCAUCGAAGAAAACAUAUCCAUAUCCCAUGUUAUCGCACUCGAAACCAUGCUAGCUCAUGUUGUUGGUAUAUCACCUUCAACCGCAGGGCCGGAGGCGCCUACUAACUCUGUCUCGUCCCAGGCUUUCAACAGCAGGCAUGUAACCUUCAAAAGAAGCAAUUGAGGAUGGAAGCAAUCGACCCGGACUAAUGGACCUCUCCCAGCAACAGCCUUUGAUGAUCUUCCUCCGCAAAGCCGUUAUUCCACUGCAAGUCAAGAUUUUCCUUUUGAUCGUAAUCGGGAUUCGACCAAGUCAACUGCCUUUCCUGAAGCAGAUGAAACGGCAGAUAUUUGAAACAAAACUAAGGAAAGUAACAUUCCGAGUACAAAGUUUGACUAAUUUGCUCAGUUGCACUGUGAAAAGGUACCGGAAGGAAGAAUGAAAGCUAAACAGCUUGGAGUUCCCAUUCCGAACGGAGAGAGAUAGAUUCAACAGAGGCUUUCCUAGGAAAAAGAGAGGGGAUAUAUUGAAAAGAGAGCAGAAAUCCCAUUACAAGCUGUAAAACAGAGCUUACAACAGUUGUAUCGCAGUGGACAGAGUAAGCAACAUUCAUAAGAAGAAGAAAAGGGUUUUUUUCCUAACAAGCCAGCUUGUGUCGGCAGUUAGCAACAAAUGCAUGACAAAUCCAUUCGCUUGGCAGGAGAGACAGGAUGCAACAGGUAUUCCGUAGAGAAGGUAUAAAUCUAUACUAUUAUUCAAACAAAACAAAGAAGUUCUCUCUUGACUCUUGGUACCUGCCUCAGCUGCACCUACUCGAAAGCAAAGGAAACAAGAAAAGCAAGGCAGCUAUGGACCAAUACUUCAUACAUCCUUCCCGGACGAGACAAGAAAGGGAUCUUACAGACAGGAAGCACCGCCCGGAACAGCAACAACUACAACGACGGGUAACUCGCUGGAAAAAAGAAGUCACAACUAGAUCAAGACCUAAGGAGACUUCGAGCACACAUCUUCCCUAUCACGGCUCAUACUAAGAAAGACUCUCUAGUAAUGACAGAGCAGCUAGCCGCUCAAUCGUGCCUUACCUCAGUAGAUGCAUACGCACAACCCGGAAGGCACUCCUUCCCUACAACUUGUUUACUUAGGAAUCACAGCUACGCCAGCAAUCUAUCUCAUCAAGCUACGUAGAACCAGGAGAGGAGUGACUCUUAACUGUGCUCUAGCAACAAGCCAGCUAGCCCUUAUAGUGCCCGAAGCAAGAUCGGAGUAGGAAGACCAUGAGCGGAAAGGCGUUCCUCGGGACUGACGUGACUCUUCCACUUGACCGAUGAGGUGAAGGAGUGAGAACUCUUACUAUAACAGAAGAGAAAAAACAAACAGUUCCCAAGGAAGAAACAGUGAAACACAGCAAACAACCCGGGAAGGAUCUAUACACUAAUAGGCCUACUGGCGUUCCUCGAAGUACUCCGGGAUAUACACCAGGGCAACUUUGAAAGACAAGUUAGCAACCGUACUACUGGUAUGAAUUGAGUAUUGCAGACUAGUGCUAAGCCCAUAGCAACAAGACUGCUAUUAUCAGAUAGCUAGGACUUAUUCUACAGCUCUUUCACACAAGGGAACGUAUGGGGAUAUCUAAAGAGAAAGUUUAUAGUUCUGACUUCCUGCCUUAAAAGCAGAUUCAAAGAGACAAGAUCCAAUUCCUUCAGCCUAUUCACAGCGGAUGAAGUAAUAGCAUUGUACAAUUAGAACUUCAUACCUUUUUCUUGCUUUCUUGUUCUUAAGCCAGUUACAUACUUUAUUCGCCCGAGGGGUUCCUCCUUUUAGUCGAGUAUGUAAACAACCUGAAACUAAUGCUUUUUCCCUUUCUAGCUUUCCACCAUUAAGACUUGUUGACUUCCUACGCUAUUCGAUUCGCUGGCAUGUCCGGUCUCAUACGAAGGAAAGGCUGGAUGGUCAGUCACUCAUGAAUUCCUUCUCGAAUCACUACUGGAAUAUAGCUUAUAGAAAGAGCAGCUUGAAGCAAGUGGCAAUGCUAGAAGGGCAUUUCUUUCCCGCCUACUUGAGUAGCGCGUUGGAUCUAUGCUUAGGCAGCUUAAUCGAGACUUCAUAUACGUAGAUUGCCAUGUCUGUAUCCGAACGAAAAGACCUUCCUGAUGUUCUUGCCCUAUUUAAACCCCGGGCAAUUUCCAAAAGAAGAGAAAACAACCACCUCGGAACAAAUAUCAUGCAUACAUAGGAACCCGGCUUCGCUAACCUUUCUUACUUAGUCGUGAAACAACUGUUCCCAUCGAACGUAGAGAGAUAGUCAAAUGACAAAGAAAGGAAAGCAGACCUCGGAACGCGCUGCACAGCACGGAACAGCCAUUACAUCAGUGAUCGGCAAACAAAGAUAGAUACUUAACAGCAGCUACAAGCAACAAUAGCUACACCCGCCUAGGGACCACUCCAGAAGUAAGCUGCGAUUAACCAGCUCACUUCCCUCAUUCGAUAGGGAAGACAACCUGCAGGGAUACAUGCAUGAACAGGAAUACUGCUACGCUUACCUACCUGACCAUUCAUGCAACAACUUACUCACAUACCAACAAGGGAUAUGAAUUCUACUGAAGCUGCAAGCAACAGGAACUAGUGCCGCUUAGCUACGGUAGUUCGCAGGCCGUUCUUCACUACCUCCAUACAUGCUUCACACAGAAACAACUGCUGUGCAUACACAGAAACAAGGCAGCUAUGCACACUAACUAACCAUUCCUAUCGAUAGAAUACAAGUAAUGGCAGAUAGGAAGGAUAGUAUAAGGUAGGGACAGAUAGAUAGAAUAAUACGUAUAUAAUCAGAAGGCUGCUUAGAGGAGUGAUCUAGCUCUCUAACCUCUAACUAUCACUAAACUAAACAAAGUGGAAUUGAAUAAGAGAAAGAGAUUCGUUGGAUAAGUUGAGAACAAAGUGGUUCACAGGUAGCUCAGAUGGUUAGAGCAAAGGACUGUAAAUCCUUGUGUUAGUGGUUCGAUUCCACAACCACUUCUAUGCGUUCCUCGGACGCUAAUAACGAAGCAAACUACAGAAUCUCAAAUUUAUGAAAAAUAUGGUUCGACUGUUGUUGCCCCUGCUCGGAGCUUUGGCAGGUAGUUUUUGCGCCCGUUUUCUAGGAUCAGAAGGAAGCGCUAUAAUGACCACUACGCGCGUUUCAUUCUCUUCGAUCUUAGUCGUAAGCUUCCUAUUUUGCUUUCAUUUUCAUUCCUUUCGUUUGAAAGGGCCGCAGAAAAAGAUUAUCUAUCUCUUUUUGGUCUUUUCCAUGGGGUUCGUGGGAUCUUUGAUCCGGAUCGAAGUCAUCCACCUAGUGGGGGGUCUGGCUUUGCCCGUGUUGGGACCUUUGGUCUUGAAUGCAAUAGGGGGGCAAGCACUUCCUUCUACCGGCCCUUCCGGGUCGGGCAGUUCUUCCAUGUGGGAGGAAGAUUCCUUUGAACUGGGAGUUCUCGAGGAAUCCGACUCCCCCCCGGCAGGGGGGUCCCGAACGGAAGAGGGGGAACCCUCGGUAAAUCAGGGCAGUCCCCUCCCGUCCCAAACAGAAGAGGGGGAACCCUCGGUAAAUCAAGUGCCCCAGGAAGCUGGGCCUGCGCUUCCAGCUAAUCCAGUCCCUCCCGGGGGGGAGGAAGCUGGGCCAGUAGUCCCCUAUCCAUACAGGAGGGAUGAAAUGAUUGGGGGGGAUAGCGUAGAGGCGAUAGAACGCCGCCUUCUGGCGAAAUACCCCGAAGGCUCUCCCUCUGCGGAGAUCAUAGAGAUGGCCCGAAUAGAGGCCGAAGAUCUAUUCGAGAUCAAAGCCCAAAUCAUCCAACGGAUGGCUCUAUAUGACCCAACCGGCGAUUGGAUGGCGCGUGGGGCUCGGGCCCUCGAUAAUCCGAGGACCACUAGUGGGGAAGAGUCCUUGGAGCGUCUUUAUGAUAUAUGGAAGGACCUCCAAGAAACCGGGCCCCUCUCGGACGAGUUUUCUCGUUUACAAGAGAAAGUAUUCCUCAAGAAAGGCGGCCCUGGGGGGGACCCUAUCGCAUAAGGUCUGCAAGCCUUUCGGGAUGGGCUUUUGCUUCUUUCUUUAUUUUUCGAUAUGCCGCUUCUUCGCCAGCAAGGAGCGAGAAAACAAAGUGGGCUGUAAUGAUGUCAGAAUUUGCACCAAUUUCUAUCUAUUUAGUGAUUAGUCUGCUAGUUUCUUUGAUCCUACUCGGUGUUCCUUUUCCAUUUGCUUCCAAUAGUUCUACCUACCCAGAAAAAUUGUCGGCCUACGAAUGUGGUUUCGAUCCUUCCGGUGAUGCCAGAAGUCGUUUCGAUAUACGAUUUUAUCUUGUUUCAAUUUUAUUUUUAAUCCCUGAUCUGGAAGUAACCUUUUUCUUUCCUUGGGCAGUACCUCCCAACAAGAUUGAUCUGUUUGGAUUUUGGUCCAUGAUGGCCUUUUUAUUUAUUUUGACGAUUGGAUUUCUAUAUGAAUGGAAAAGGGGUGCUUCGGAUCGGGAGUAAAGUGAUAGGGCACAAAAUGGGGGGAAAAAGAAAGGAAAGAGAAUAAUGCCCACGUUUAAUCAAUUGAUUCGUCAUGGUAGAGAAGAAAAACGGCGCACGGACCGUACUCGAGCUUUGGAUAAAUGUCCCCAGAAAACAGGAGUAUGCCCGCGUGUUUCAACGAGAACACCGAAAAAACCUAAUUCCGCUCCACGUAAGAUAGCCAAAGUACGGUUGAGCAAUCGACAUGAUAUAUUUGCUCACAUCCCGGGCGAAGGUCAUAAUUCGCAGGAACAUUCUACGGUGUUAAUAAGAGGAGGUAGAGUGAAAGAUUCGCCAGGUGUAAAAUCCCAUUGUAUUCGAGGAGUAAAGGAUUUGAUGGGAAUUCCGGGUCGAAGAAGAGGCAGAUCAAAAUAUGGUGCAGAAAAACCCAAAUCGAUAUGAAUGGAAGAUGCCUCUGGAACUAGUAUCGGUCAGUCGGUGGAACAAUCACAACGUUACGCCCCAAAAUAAAACUAUAUGGAGCCGUUACGAAUGACCAUAAUGGAGUCUACUACACCAGCCAAGAAAGAGUGCAUUUGACUCACUUCGCCCGUGGAGGUGGCAGAGGAAGCCUAAGGCAUGCCCGGGCUAGUGUAACUGAUCUCGCUACUCAAUCCAUAUCGUCAGUUAUAUGGUUGCUUCAUCCAAGAGAGGGUAAGAAGGUUCGAAAUCAUCAAUGAGAGCAGGCUAUCGCUUCCUCCUUACCCUCUCAUCGACUGCUGGUAGUUGGCUGACUUGGUUGAUGGCUUUAUGUCAUAUGUGUGCCAAGUUAGGAAGGUUAGACCGACUAAUUGAAAGGCUUUUUCGUUGAGAAUAGUUUGAAGUUCCCUUCUUUGUAGCAUUGUAAGUUAUUUCCUUCUUUAGCUUAUGAAUUUUUUUUAGGGAAAAGAAUGAGAAAAGUGACAGUGGAAGGAGGGAAAGCUCCUUAUUUUACCCGUUCUAAAAGAAGCUCGAUUAAGCAGGAAGACCUUUGGUCUCCUGUUCUCUAGCUUAGUCAGUUAGUGGUAUCCGUCGGUCGGUUAGCAGAUUUGCAGAUAGAAAAGGCUAGCCAGCCUAAGCCGAUCCCGAGGAAAGGGGCUAUAGGAUUGCCCACGACAAGCAUUGGAUUUAUUUUUUGAUGAUCUCCGACUCCUAAGUCUUCCGCGUGCCUUAUUCCACCCUCAAAAAACGAUUUUCGUAGUUUAUCAGCCCGUCUUGCCUCACACUUCUACUUCAGGAGCUUGCCUUGAGGGUACGAUGACGAUCUUAGUCCGAAUAACUGCUUCAGGGUGGGAAUGAAUAGAAGGCCGGUGCUAAACGCCCAAUGCUAUUUAUACGAAAAGACUGAUCGAACCAAUGAAGUAAGGCUUUUUAACACUACUUUCAAAGGUAGAGGCAAAAAGCCCACUUUUUAGCGACAUGAUAGCAUGAACUCUUCCCCCGAUGUAAACAUUUCCUGCCUAACAGAUUUGUAGACGUCCAGGAAGCUUAAGAUCUUAACAAGAAAGAUAUAAGGCGAUGGCGUCGCCAAUUGCAUGAAAGAAAGGCCUUUUAGGGGAGUUGGCUCGUGUGUGGAGUGAAUUCCUCUGUCCUGUGUGCGGAAGGCAUAUGAAGUAGUCCAGUAAGGAUUCAAGUCAGGUUGUAUUUGGAUUUUGCAACUCGGAAAUUAUCAUAGAUUGAUGAUCCUUUCCUUACCCUACUGCCUAUCAACAUUAAAAAUAUGCAAAAUAGCCCUUAUAUAAAUAUAACCAACCCGAUCUACGAGUGGAUAUUGCCUUUUUUUUCAUCGGCGAUCUUUCAUAGAGUUGCCGAAGCCAGAAAAUCUGCUAAUGCAAUCCGCAGAAUUACAUCAGAUCAAGGUGUGGAUCUAUUUCGAACAAGUGAUAUCCAAGAAGAAGCCAUUCGUUACUUCUCCAACCUGUUUCAGUUUUCACCGGUGAACCACACUCGAGCCUCUAUCUCAUCCCUUCGCUCUCUUAUCGACUUCAUCAGAUGCUCCAACUAGAUGCAAGCGAAUCUUCUGCAACAGGUUAACUACGGAGGAGAUUCCAAAUUGUCUUUUCAGCAUGCCGCUCGACAAAUCCCCUGGCUCGGAUGGUUUUCCAGCUGACUUUUACAGAUUAACUUGGGAUAUUGUUGGCCCGGACUUUGUUGUUCAAACUAAAAGAAAGAACGCUAAUAAAAUAAAGGUCCGAUCUGAUGUUUACGAUUUGUUGUGGUUAAUCUUCCCAAUUGACUAAGUGCAAGUUAGAACAUGGUAGCUUCUGAUUCACGGCCAAUGAGACUCCGCUUGCGAGCUGAACUCUUUUUGGCAUCAUUCGCAGUGAGAGAAGAGAGCAUACGCAGUGAAGAAGGGAGUGGAGCUUAUAUUUCAAAGUAUAUUAAAGGUAUUCUAAAAUCAAGAUUAUCCCGACGUGAGCAGUCACGCUGGAAUAUAAUAGAUGAUACAACUUAUAUGGCUUUCUUUGAAGAAUUUGCGUCUCUUAAUCCAGUUUUUCAUACUUUCUUAUUUUACGGGAGGAGAGACGGAGAAGAUCUUUCUUUUCACAUUGUUGGGUUUUUUCGUCUAUCGAUACGGGGUUACAUAUUCUUUUUAUGGGAAAGCUUUUAGCUACCGAAAAGGAUCCGAGCAAGCUCAUCUUCUAGAAUCAAAUCACAUCGAAGAAAGGUAGCACUGGAAGGGCAGAGUACUCAAUUUUUUUAUCUUUGUGCAAGUAAUGAUCGUGUCAGCAUCUUUUGGUUAACUGAUUCAGUUACCGAUCAAUCUGGCCCUAGGUUCCCUAGCUCCAACGCGGAAGGACUCUCAUUUCGUCCAGAUCUUUGCUUUGCGGCAUCUCCAACUGUAAGCUCUGAUGGACCAACACUUAUGCAUGCGAUUUCAAGUCUUCAUAAAUGAGAAAGUUCGAGUCAUUACACAAGCAAAGGAUAGCUAUAACGAGAAAAAGGUAUUUUAUUUUGCUAAUCCCAAGGGGAAUGUGAAAUGUGGAAUGAAUCAGGAAAUAGCCCUUUGAUUUAUCAAAAAUACAGAAGUAGUAGUCUUCCCGGGUCUCACUGUUCGGAUAACUUUCCUUUUAAUCCUACUGCAUAGGCAAGAUCUCAUCCUUCGGCGAAUCAUGUGGGGCUCAGAAGAGUGCUCCCUACGACGGUAAAUCGGGGCAAAAGACCCUUUCUUCGACGACGUGGACACGGGGAGGGAGCAGGCGAAGCGUGUCGUUCGUAAUGGAAAGAAAGAGACCACUACUUCGCCUCUUUGUUGGACCGCCGGCGCGAACACAGUGGUCUCUGAUCAGGACCAGGAACCAAUUCGAAUUUGGAUCUUGACAUGUUGGUGGUUUUUAACCGUAGGCAUCUUGCCAGGAAGUUGGUGGGCUUAUCAUGAAUUAGGUCGGGGUGGCUGGUGGUUUCGGGAUCCCGUAGAAAUGCUUCUUUUAUGCCUCGGGUAUUAGCCACAGCUCGUAUUCAUUCUGUAAUUUUACCCCUUCUUCAUUCUUGGACCUCGUUUCUUAAUAUUGUGACUUUUCCAUGCUGUGUCUCAGGAACCUUUUCAAUACGGUCCGGAUUGCUAGCUCCCGUUCAUAGUUUUGCUACAGAUGAUACACGAGGAAUCUUUUUAUGGUGGUUCUUCCUUCUAAUGACCGGCAUAUCUAUGAUUCUUUUCUACCAGAUGAAGCAGCAGGCAUCGGUCCGUAGAACGUAUAAAAAAGAGAUGGUUGUGGCGCGAAGUACUCUUGUGCAUCUACGUCACUCGGCUCGCGCGCAACCCCGCCCCGUUAUGUUAUGGAAGAAUUGAACUUCUUGCUGGGCUGGUUAUUCAGAGCCAGCAAUUGGCUGCCGGAUUUCGUCCUGCAAUGAGGCAGAUCGCUUCGGGGGGUCACUGUGGCGUGGCUGAAUGUAGAGCAGUCCGCCCCUACAGCGUUUGAUCAGUAGAUUAUUUAGAACUUCGGAAGAUGGUCAAGGUACGAAGUGACAAGCCACUGCGCUAGAUGCGCAUGUGGUCGUAGUAGUCGGCUCGUCGCUACUUUUAUCCAAAGAAUAAGGCCUACAAGCUCUCUGUUUGGAGACAGAACAACGUUAUAAGUUCUGAGUCGUAUGAAAACUAGCGGUUUGGGGGAAAUAGCGAUUUAUCAAUAACAUAGAAUAAACAAGCUUGCUUGGCAGACUGGAAGAUAAAGGCAAGCAGCAACAUAGAGUACCUUGACCUGCUCGCUGGGGACAUAAGGAUUGACAUGUGCCGAGACAGCUGUCCCGCGGAUUAAGGAAUCCGCAAAGGCUAAUGCCAUAAGACGAGCAAGACUAAAGAAAGAGAAGAUCGGUCCUCGUCCACUCGGAAAGCUUUUUCUCAUCAUAGGGGGACGGAGACGGUUAGUCAGCAUUCCACUACCAACGAGCAGCAAACUCCUUGCGACUCUAAUUGAGAAAAACCCAACAACGGCCACCCUCCCUAGGUGUAAGAUAAUAGGGCUUGAUGCCUAGCGGCUUCCUUUUACGGGUUGUCCGAUCUCACAGGUUUACACCUUUUAGGAAUGAAUGUUCCACGAGUCGUUAUGCUUUGAUUGUCGUCUUUCGAAUGAAGGAUUUGUCUAGCUAAUAAACAUCAUCCUUCAGUCCGCGCCGGCAUUCCAGAACGAAUUCUUAUCGCUUAGCACAAGCGCUAACCCUGACAAGGCCCUACAUCGCAUAUGCAGUUGGAGUGGUUAGUCGAUUCAUGCAAAAUCCAAAGAAACCUCACUUUCGACGAAUAUUGAGGUACAUGAAAGGAAGACUUGACUAUGGUCUUCUGUAUAAGAAAGGAGAACAGUGUAAGAUAGUUGGCUAUUGUGACGCCGACUAUGCUGGUGAUCACGACACGCGUCGAUCAACAACUGGAAACGUGUUCAGGCUUGGUUUAGGAGCAGUUUGUCUUUGAAAAGUAAGCGGUGUUUUAGCCGUAACCCUUGUUGGAAGAGAAUACCACGUAGGAGUGAAAACUCCCCUGCUCAUCUAUCUUCAUUCCAAAGGCGAACAUUUCAAUUGAGUGACUGUAACUGCUAUCUAUAGUUUACAGUCAGUAGUUCUUAACCAACCGCCCAGCUUUAUAAAGCUUUAAGAGGGAAUAGGGAGUAAGGGGGACCUUCGCUUCAUUAUCAAAUUGACCUGGACCCUCUUUCUUCUCCUGCUGCAGAUUUUGCCCUGCGCGGAUUCUGGAGCUUCUUCUUUAGUCUAGGAUUUCAAAUAAUAAUCAAAUCAAAAGAAGCGGCUGGGCGAGAACAAGAAGCGGUCGUCGUACGCCGGCCGGUAGCUCUACUAAGCGAAGAACCGCUCGCUGCCUUUUCUUCGCGAAUAACCAUGUGGAGUGGAGGUAGCCUAGGAGAAGAGAAGCAAGCUACCCUUCGCCUACCUCCCAUCUAUAAGCGGCAAUGGUAAGAGCUGGUAAGCAUGGUAACUGUAUCGGCUAAGGGGUCGGCGCUCCGCGUUCUAUCUAGGUUCCGCUCUGACCUUUCCCCACCUCACAUAGAAGAAGGGGAAGCCCUUCAAUAGAAGAACCCGUGUGAGUGGGAGGAUUGAAUCAUUCAUUCAUCGGAUACGUCUUUUCCCGUGAUCCAUUUCAUGUCAACUCUAAUUAGUUAUCAAAAGGCCUACCUUACAAAGGGAAACGGCCGCAUCGGCCCGCUUCGUCACCGUCGGUUCCCGCAACCAAGCCUUUCUCUUAUUCUUUCUUUCAGAAGGGCUUGCGGUUCAUUACACCAAAGGCUUUCAGUGAACUAUUGAAGCUAUCGAGAGAGUACCAAAUGCUGACGGUGACGAAGGUUACCGACUUUCGGUGGACGCGGAGCCAACGAGUUCAGUCGAAGAGCGUAACGAGUCUAAGGUUACAGAAGCGUUCGCCAACUUUGAUAGGUAUAGCAUUGCGAGCAAAUAGAGAGCAGAGAGCUUACCCUUUCUUUCUAUGAGAGUCGCGAGCUUGUUGUAGUCGGUCCUAAAGAACCUUGCUGCUUACUUGCUAUAUUCCCGCGUUCUUGCACGGCUCGCGCGCAACCCCGCCCUGCUUCUCCCUUCCCCCUCCCCCCCCUUACCGUCCAAAACUCAGAGGCCGUAUGGAGUAUAGCCAAGUGGUAAGGCACCGGUUUUUGGUACCGGCAUGCAAAGGUUCGAAUCCUUUUACUCCAGAUUAUGAACACCCGAUCGGAUCUGUCAAGAACGAGCUGACGACGGAAGCUCUCAUUAAUUAGUUGAUGAGGGGAAGCGACUGACAGCAGUCCCUGAGCUAAGCCUUGGAAAUCUUAAUGCCAUAAUGCCUUUAAAAUCCUCCUAGCCAUUAUCCUACUGCAAUAAUUCUUGCUAAGAAGAACGCCCAUGUUGUGGCAAUUCCACCCAUUAAUAGUAAUGGAACUCUGUGCAAAGUUUCCUCCAGUAAUAUGAGUUACCACCCCUUGAUCACUUAUACUACCCCUCACACUGAUCGUACUUCCGGCAAACAUAACUAGUUCUUCGAGUAAGAUUGGGUUGAAGCGGAAGGAUAUUCGCUUUAUUAGCUAAGGCUGAUUGAAUUGCUAACUGAACUUAACUAGUCUAAUUCCAUUAUUCUGACCCUGCAGGCUUUGAUCUUUUUUAUUCUCAUCGAAAUCGGAAGAUUUGAAAGCGGAAAGAAGAUUCUAGCCUUCCUUCCAUAUUAAAAGAUCAAGGAAGACGAGCAAGAAAACGGAUGCGCGUUAGCGCAACGGCUUUCGCUAACGUUGUUCAAUCCGUUGCUUGUUCCCUUGACCUUUCAUUCACACUCUGAUUGACGCUACCCGGUCCACUCAAAGCUUGAAGGAUGAAGAGGCCGACCUCUGUUUUUGAACAAGUUGGUCAAGGUUCGUUAUCUUAAGCAUUCCUGUUGGAACGACUAGCUGGAAAGGCACUAACGCUUUGCCGAGUUAUGAUAGGGGGAUGAGGAGAACAGACAGAGAUGGUCAUACAGACUUCUUUAUCAGACCGACUGCUGAUCGCCUUCAAACGACUCUUCCAGUCGCUGACCUACCUCGAGGAGUGACUCUUUAUAUGGUGUUUAGCUGAGGGAAAGAAGGUGUUAUGGCCUGCCCGAGAAGGAGAUUAAGGCUCUUUUUAUGGCAGUGGAGAAGUGGAUGAGGAUGAAGUGUUCUCACUAUGGUGAUUCGGUGAAGAGGGCGUUAAGCCUAGUGAAUUCUUGUUGAGAUUUGGUAGACCUUGCGAAUGUAGCUACUUCUGACUAUGUUCCCCCUCCUAAUCCUUCUACCACUACUGAGCAUAAAACUCUAUCUGUAUGUGAGGAUGAGUACACUAAAUUCCUUCAGUAUCAAGCAGCAAGUAAUCUGUUCCUACUGCAUCGCCCUACCUUUCUAGGGCCUUGAGUUGGGAUACGGUUCUAGUUCCAAACCCCUCUAUUCAUUCGUUUGUAGCCGUGGGUCACAUUCAUUCCUGCUGUUUGUCGGUAGUCUUCUCGGUUUAUCCUAUGUAAUAAGAGGUAAAAGUAGUAGGAGCGAGACCGUUGUAGCUAGAGCAGUCAAUCCCUUUAUCGAUAAAGUGGUAAUGAAGGGUCUGUAGUAAGCAAACCUAGUAGCUGCUCUUAGUAAGACCAGUCACAGGGAUAUAUAAAACCAGAGAAAGGCUGACUUCUAUUUCAACUGAAACAGGCUUGGCUGGAAGAUCUUUUAUUAAGUCAGACUGGCUAGAAGCGCUAUAGACUGACCGUUAGAAGUCAUUGAUAGGGAUGUUGAACACUAUCAAUUACUUCUCUUUAGUACCGGUAUAACAUCGACUACUAAAAGUAGAAGGGAAGAAAGGUUAUCCAGCCACUUCUUUGGUCCGGGAUAGGAGGCUUGUUGAAUCAGACGAAAUAGGACAUCGGUGCCGGUACUCGAUUCGAAGCAUGGCUGGACGCCGCACUCCUGGCACCUAAAGGUGCUUUUUUCGCGUACUCUUUUUUUGUGAUUUCCCGGUAGGGAGGGAUGUUUUUAGUACAGAUCUUUUAAGCGAACCACUAGAAGGAGUCUUUGAUUGAGGAUCAUCUGAGAUGGAUGAGCCAUCUCCUUUCCAUUGCCAGUCAAGCCUGCCAUUCAACAAGCCCUGUUGUGGUCAUCAGACUUUAUUAUAAAAUAAGUAACGGAAAAUAAUCCAUUGCUCCGUUGACUCUUUCAAGCAAGGGCUUCCUUGUCUCAGAGGCCCCUUCAACCGGCUUCAAAACUCGCUAUUCUGCUGACGAUUUUAGCCUUUAUAUAUCACCCCGAAUGGAGUACUCAAGUUGAACCGGGCGGACCUUUGGAAGGGUCUGUUCGAGAACUUCACAACUUCACUCUAGGGCCAACCUCGAAGGGUUUCCUCUCUUUAUGAAAUAGAACAGCAGCCAACCACCGAGGUUCCUCACUAGAUAUAUAGGACUGGUACCUUCGGUCUCUUGCGACACUCCGAGCAAUGUUGCCGCUCUGUUCGCUUCUUUUUCAAUGACGGUAACAGACCAACCUUCAAUGGCAGAUAAUUAUCAAUUUGACUUAGGAGGUUCCGAUGCAAAGGCCACACCUGUGGUUGAUUGCCUCCGCCACCUCUCUACAGUCAGUUUAAAAUUCCACUCUCACCUGUUGGUGCUUAAACUUUCAGCAGCCCAAAAAACACUCAAAAGCUCCGCUUCGAAAGCAGUUGUUGUUGGCAUAAAGGCUCUUCGUCAAGUCGAACCACACCGAGGAGGCACUUGUUAACCACCGGAUGGAGCAAGUUCGUGAACAAUAAGAAGCUAAUCGCUGGUGAUUCUGUUGUAUUUAUGAGGAAAUCGGCUGAUGAGAUGUUUAUUGGUGUAAGGCGAGCACCAAUCUCUAGUAACGUCGGAGGAACAAGCUUCUACGGCGGAGAUGAGUACUGUAGUUAUUAUCAGAGCAAUGGAGGCGUUGCUAAGGAAGACGACGGAAGUGCGAAGAAGGGGUUUAGGAGGACUGGGAAAGGGAAAUUGACGGCUGAAGCUGUCUCUGAGGCGAUUAAUAGAGCAGCUCAGGGUUUGCCGUUUGAGGUGGUUUAUUAUCCUACGGCUGGAUGGUCGGACUUUGUGGUGAAGGCAGAAGAUGUUGAGGCUUCCAUGGCUAUAUUCUGGACUCCUGGUACUAGAGUGAAGAUGGCCAUGGAGACUGAGGACUCUUCGCGGAUUACUUGGUUUCAGGGGAUUGUCUUCUAUACAUAUCAGGAAACUGGUCCAUGGCGUGGAUCUCCUUGGAAACAGCUUCAGGUAUAAGAUCCCCUUCACUAUUCCCUUAAUAUUCCUCUGAUGUUGAGCUGAUGGGAAAAUAUAUAAAUCUGGUUAUUCGAAUGCUAAUUUGGGUUUGGAAUGUGAGGUUCCAGUUGUGUCAAGUUUGGAUUGCUGUGUUGGGGGGAUUCGUGGUUUGAAAUCGAAAUAUGUUGAUUGGAAGCAGUAUUAGUUAGUUCAUUUUCAAAUGAAUGCCAUAUCCCUUAGUUUUGUUGUUUGAGAUUCAUCUUCAACAAAGAUACAUUGGAAAAAGAAGUCGGAAGAUCUUGGUCUUAGUAUUGUUUGUGUUGCACUCAGAUACAGUAAAUCGCUACAAUCUCUCUUCUCUCUUCUCCUAUCCCUCCGCUUGCUUCCGUUUUCAAUCUCUCCUUUCUCUCAGACAUUACGGUCUCUUUCUCUCUCUCUCUUUCUGAGCGGUGAUCAUGCUCUGUACAUUCUAGUAUAUGUUGAUGAUCUUAGAAUCACAUGGUCCAAUCCUCUUCAUAUUGAUGACAUAGUAUGCAUCAAAAAUGCCAUCUUUUCUAUAAAGUAUCUGGCUCAAUCUUGGUCAAAAAGUGAGUAGAACUUCUGCUUCUAUCUUUCUCAAAACAUUACUGAUCUAUUGGUCAAGGCUGGCAUGGAAAUAACCUCUCCCUUCUCCCAUAGUCACUUCUGGGUCCUCUUUGUCUGCUCUGCUGUUGUAAGUUCCACUUUGCUGCUAAUCCUCAUCUCUAUCGUAGCUAGAGCAUUCUUGGUGGUUGCUAGCAUAACCAGACCUGACAUAGCUUACUCAGUGAACUUUCACAAUUUCUGAUGAGACCUUAGAUAGAAAAGAAGGUUUAGAUUAAAGUUUCUAUUCCUUCCUAUUAAACGCUUUCAAAAGAUUGUUGAGAUAUCUUCUCUGAAUUGUCUGCACUUGACACCUUCCUCUCAACUUGCUCUUGUUUUAGUGAUGCUGAUUGGCCUUCGUGGGAAUUUAUAGAUCACUCUCAGGAUAUUGGCUUUUUCUUGGGAGAUCCUACGGGAAAAGAAGGAAAGAAGUCAAAAUAAGAGAGUAAGAGCCUAGGUUAGAAGUCAGUUUCAGUUCUCUUAGGUCUCUUUCCACAUAUACAAACUGAGAGUUCAGUCUCAUAUAGCAUGAGGGGACAUGGCUUGGUAAUCGAUUCAAAUUGGACAUAGAUAAUCUUUCAAUUUCUCAUAUUAUAUAUGAUAAUAUAGGCGUGGAAAAUUUAUUGGGGUUAUAAAAAAAAAAAGAAUCCUCGUCUUUACAGUCUUAUCAAUUGUGAUAAGAAAGCGCUCUUAGUUCAGUUCGGUAGAACGUGGGUCUCCAAAACCCAAUGUCGUAGGUUCAAAUCCUACAGAGCGUGAUUCCGUUGCUCUUGUUAGGUCGAAAAUUAGACUGAACUCAAAUAAUUGAACAGUAAUCUGAAUUUGAUCUCUCGCCAGAAUUGAUUUAACCAAUAGACAUAUAUAUUAUCUUUCUUACUUCUGACCAGUGGUGCUCUAUACAUAUUGGUGAAUUUAGAUAUGAAAAUGAAAUCUCCUUUAUUUAGAGGACCACUGGUCAACAGUUCCACAGAAAAUCCAAUUCAUAUCCUAACGCGAGAGAAAUUGAGACAUCAGACCAGUGGUACAAACUCAACAGAGAAAGUAAUACUACCUAAUAUACUUCAUAGUUAUAUCAAAAACCUAAACUUAGAUUUCACAUCACCAUAUGGAUCAACUGGUAAUAAUGAAGUAUUAAGCAUACUUCGUAGUAGGUUUAAACAAAGCAUUUUCCCAUCAUCUGGAUUAAAGUGUUUGGAUACUACUGGUGAUUUUCUCAUCAAAAAUGUUUUACAUAAAAGAUAUGAAAGUGUUCAGAAGAAUAUCUCAAAUGCAUUAUCAUCCUCCAUAAAUUCUCGCACUGCAGUCUUCUUUUGUAUACUGUUCAGUAUAACAGUGUUAAUGGAAAUAGCUCCUGGACCUCUUUUGAAGAAACCUUCAUUAUUAUUUUCAGAUAAUUUACCAAAUGUAUUGCAAUAUACACGAGAUGUGUAUGUGAAUCAUGUUUGUAUAAUACACAAAAGUUUAAGUCCAUGUGAGUGCGAGGAGCCUCUCAAUCGAAUUAUUAGAGAUAUGUUUCCGCAAACCACUUUUGACCCACUUGAACUACAGAAACCUUCACCCAGUAAAGUGAAAACUAUAACCUACAUGCUUGGUACUAUUCUUCUUGUAAUUACAUUAAUGGAUAAGACUGGAUACACUCAAUUAGUUAAAAUGUAGAUAGAAUGAAAUACACAUUAACCUCCUUCUCCAUUUACUGUUCUUUGAUUCUAACCUCCUUCUCCAUUUCCCGUUCUGUCCUAGUUCUUUGUUUCUAACAUUCUUAGCUUACCGAGAUAAGCAAUUCCCUACCUAGAAAAAGAUGAUCAAAGGCAUUGAGGAUCAAGCUAUCCUUCUUUUGCUGUUGAAUUGAAUUGAAUUAUGUUUUGGUAAGGACAUCAGUAUUGAUCCUCGUCUGAUAUAGAGACUUUCAGGUUUUCUAGAUCAGCUAUUAUCCUUUGAAACUCAUUAACGUCCUCAAACUAAGGAAAGAAGUGCUCAGUGAGCUUUAAAUGAUUGAAUUGGACUUUCGGUCAGAAGUGAGCCUAAGCUUUGUUGUGAGCUGUCUCGUUUCCCUGUACUCGCAUUCGCUUACAUCAAACCAAUCAAGCUAGGAUUCUUGUGGGAUUGACUCCUGGUAAGGAACCGUCUUUACAUCUCUAACUUGUUGGCUCGUUAGGAAGGGAAGUUAAAGCUUGCCUGUAAGGGGAAGGCAAGCUCUCUAAGCAAGCUGUUUUCAUGCCUAUACUAGCUUUCUUUGUUUGACAGGUUGGGGGAAUACCCAAUUCAAAGAGAUCAAGCUUACACUGCACAGAUUUGACCUUAUUAAGAAAGUUUCCGGGAAGGGGUAGAAGAUGCUAGAUGUUUCCCUAGGGUCUUGACUAGUUCCUACUUCCUUGCUUCCAGUGUAGAAGGUGUAGCUGGCAUACUGGAGUCAAUAUCUUAGUUCAGUUGUUGCCUCCGGUUGUCAUACUGGAAUGAGUCAAUAUCUUAGUAUCGUCUGUAAUGUGGAAGAAGUAGCUAGAUGUCUUCCCUGUGGUUCUCUGCUAGUGGAUACUUCUCUCUAGCGGUGUAUCGGGUGUUGGCACUUCGGUUGUUGCCAGUCCUGUCAUUUCCUAGAAUAUGUGUUAGUAUAGGCUGGAAUAUGUAAGUAUUGUCUAGAAGUUCCCUGUUGGUCCCUUACUAGUCUGCUCUUCUUUGUUCCAGUGAGUUCUGUCAUGAAGUGUAGCUCAUGUUAGGAUUACCCGGGAAGCGAGCUUGUCGACGACGACGGGUAAGCCGUGUGAGCGGUUAAGGGUUGCUUGUUGCUCAGCUGUCUUUAGUCAAUAUCUUAUGAAUGUUCCGGUCCAGGGAAUAAUGUGAAUGUAGCUAGAGUGUUCCUAAGGUGCGUGCAUACUAGGGCUUCUUCCUCUAGUUACCGUUGUAGCUGAACCAGCACUUGCAGCUGUAUAUUCUGGGCGAGGAGCGUAAGCGACAUGGCAUAUUUGUGAAAGAAUCUCCCUUCUCUUCGUUCGGACUAGCCAUGAAUAACCAGUUGGUUGCUUCCAGUGGAGGAACCCCUGUUCAUGCAUGGCGGGGCCCGGGAUCCCUUGCUGCUGCGGUAAAAGAGUCUUCCUUCUUCUGGGCGGAAUGUGUAUGAGUAGGCGUGAAGUAGGCGAAGCAGUCCUCCCGUUGAUACGUGGGAUAGGAGAAGGGGUCUACCACUUUAUAUCACUAAGUUCCCCCUCUCCGUCUUGCAGGUAUUGUUUCUGGGUUGUGUCUGCUUCCCGCUGUGCAGCUUCCACUUCCUUUCUUUGUUCUCUGGGAAUAAGUAGCAUGAAGAGUUCAUCUGUUGUCCGUAGGUCCCUGGCUGAGUUAUCAUGUGUAGCUAAGUACGAUCUGCGUUCUGCUGUCAGUUAAUAAUCUCCUCCUCUCUUUGUUCGGAUGGGAACUAUUGUAUCUGUUGUUAACCCUUGUAUCUGGCUACGCCGCCCUUAGAAGCAGAGUAGCCAGUCCAGUAGGUGUAGUUAGUUAUCUGUUCAAGUAGGUAGGAGGAACCCAGCUUCUCCUAUCUCAUAGGAGGAACCCGUAGAAUCAAUAUCUUUUCUUUCUUUCCACAGAAGGUCAGCGGUCAUACUCUUCGUACUGUUGUUAGCUGUUCCUGUUCCAGACGAAGUAAGGUAGCCGGCUCAGUCUCUUACUCGGAGAGGAACGCCUACUACUCGACUAAUAGGAGAGGAACGCCUUUGACUUCUUUCUCUUUCGAAAAAAAGGAAUGUAGUUAGCCUAAUCACUGGGAUGAUGAUUGGAUCAGUUUAGCUACUCUGUUAAGGUCUACAUCAGGAGGUUCAACUAAGCCCGCAGGUAUAUUUGGCAGGCACCUGAAGCGAGUUGACUCUAGCUAGGAAGUUCUUCUCUGGCCUGUCACCUGAGUUAGAGGCUAGGCUCCGAAGCCUUCAGUUCUUUAGUCUCCCUGAGAGUUGUUAGAGAAGGCAGCAUUGGUCGAGAGAGUGUGAGCGAAGCGUAGUAGCGCUGCUAUACCGAGAAAAGUAAUCAAACCUAAAUCUAGGAAAUACAGCUGGGUGUGCUCAUGUUGGCUAGGUAGCAGGGCCAGACAAUCCCUUUACUUUCACUUUCGUGUGUGCGUACUAUUAAGAGUUACGUGUGUGCGUACUAUUAAGAGUUAGGAGUAUACCAGCACAGAGAGAGGAGUGUGCUUCAGGUAGAGCACAGAGGAGGAUAACAGUUAGGAGAGUUAGGAAGGAGUAACCCAGCACUGUGCUAGAGAAAGCAGAGGAGUACCGAGAAAAAGCAGCAGUGUGCUGUACAGAGAACAGAGGAAAAAAAAGUUCGCAGCAAAAGAUAAAACAGAGACGGAACCUUCCCCCCUUCAUGCUGUACAAAAGCGGCCAGCACAAGGUCAAGGCGAAGACGGAGCAGCACUACCUGGAGAUGAUCCUGGCGAAGAACGAACCAUUACCAUUCUAAGGAGGGGGAAGCACUACUAUAUAUCUCUUUCUUAAGAAGCUAUUUCUAAGUUCCACUUUCCAUUAACCGAAGUCUAAUGAUCGCCUGGCAUUAGCGCCAUCCUACCGUCUCGUUUAUGAGCUUGCAUCUUGUACUUCUCCUGCCUCUGAAGGACCGGACCAAUGAUAGACCAUGGGAAACAGGAAAUUGACCAAUGAUAGUUACUCGGAAACUGGGAAUAGGUUCGGGGUCUAGCUAUUUACCAUAGUAAGCUAUCCUUAAGGGCUUCGAUCGGUCCAUAUCAAGAAAGUCAUUCCGCUUACGGCUAGCGAGCACUUUCUUUUGGUGAAUAUCCGGCGAAUGAAAUAACCAUUGUAAAAGCUAGAGAUGAAUGCCCAGCACUCUCGGACUGAUCAUCUUGCUGCAAGAAAGCUUCAGGUCAUUGCUGGUUCGUAUGAUCCAGCUUCCAGUACAAAGGCAAUGUACUAAGAAAGCCAAACUUGGACAGGGGCCCUUACGUAUCUAAGACAUAGUUCGUGGCAUACGAUCGAAGAAAGCUGGGCGGAAAGCUCGGACACCAACCUCAAAAGGCGGUGUUGACCCUGUUACAGUACAGGGAAGAUCCGUUUAGCCAAAACGAGAAGAUCUUCCAUAGUCUAGUUAGGGGGUGGAUUUUUUUCAUUCCUCAAUGGGUGCUGCUUUUGACUGCUAUCUCGUAUCGAUCUAGUAUUGCGGCUUACGCUAGAUUGACACCUUUCCUUGAAUACGAAUAAACGUGAGAGCCAACCCCAUAGGUAUGACCCAGGAGGGCCAAAAGUGGCAUUUCUUGCUUCUUAAAAAGCUGAUUGUGAAGAGGGUCUGCCCUUUGAAUCUCCUCGAGCCGGGUCUAGUCAGUCUUUUUCCCUCGCCCUGGCGAAUCGUAGCUCUGUCUCUGCCUAUUAUGCUGGUACCUAAGAAGGAAUGGGGCGACCGACCCCAUGUUACUAAUCGAAAACGUUCGUUUCGAGACCCCCAUGUGUCCUUUGAUGCUGACUGAGCUACCGAAGCGAUGUUGGUUAGGAUUGCAAGACACGUCGUUUUAGUCGGGCAAUAUCCGAUGUCGGAAGAACAAGAACUGAAUAGGCUCGCAGACCUGGUACCUUAAAGUCUUCACCGUUUGAGAACACCCGAAUCCGAGUGGCUUAGCAAGAGACUCUAAGACAGAUCAUCCGCGCCGGAAUCCCCUAACUUCAUUUUUGGUAUUCCCUUUUCGGGUUCUAGAGUCGACAAGCCCAUAAGACGAUACCGAUGCCCAGAGACCGAACACAGACUUAUCUUUCCCAUAUGGCUCUAUAAGACAUCCAUGGAAUCUUUCCACCCCCAACAUCUCUAUUCUUUCUAUUCCGAAUGGCGCCCAGUAUUUUUAAGUAUGGUUGUAUACUUUUCCUGCCUGGAACUCCUGAAUUAAUUCUUUUUCUAUAGGAAGGAACUCAAGCAAUCCGGCAUCCCCGGCAGCUAUGCAAUUACUUAAUUCAGUCUACAAUAAUUUGGUGUCCGAUUUUCGGCUAGUGGACAGCUAUACCAAUAAUCCUGUAUACAGCUGUAUAAUAUUUUUUAUAAAGGAUUAUCGGUGAGCAAGAAUUAAAAUGUAGUUUUGAGUUUCGUUAGUUAACCUACCUUUUUCUUUUGGUGGUGAGUUUCCUUUUAGGGGGUUACGAGCCUUUAGCAUUCAGAUUGGGCAAUGCGAGAUAGAUUGAUUUACAUUUACCUCGAGGAUAGUCUUUCUUUUCCAAGCGCGCUUUCCCAACCUGCCAUAUGUCCGAUACAUAGUCGAGGGCUCUAUACGAGCGCCUUUCUUUCAACUCUAUCUAUUCUUGCUUUUCAAACAUUGUAUUCCUUAUAGAAUAUCAUCUCAUGUCUAUCUAUAGUAUAACGUUUCUCAUAGUGGCAUAGCGGCUCCGAGGUGAUUCUUUCUGGUAUCCGUCCUCUCUCAUACUGCUUUAAGGUUGGAGGAUUUAGUUCAAGCUAGUCUCCUAUGGUGAAGAUCUCUAUAUUUGUUAAGACUGUAUGAAAGAAAUCACAUAUAGUAAUCAUCUAAGAAUAUAUCUAUACUAUAAUGGUUGCAUCUAACAUUUCUCAUAGUGUAGAUAAGGCAGUCCCCGGAGCUAAGAAAACUACGCUAUUCAAAGCAAUCCGCCCAAGGAAGGCUAGCUAGUCGAGUCUAAUGCUAGGCUAGGUGAUUCCUCUCUAUCAAUGACCGAAGCUUAAUCCAGAGAGAGAGCUCACUAUACCACCAGGUUGCCACAUUUGCUUAUGAAACAAGAACAGCUUAUCCCGAGGCUCUGAAAGACUGAGGGUAGUCACUCAAAAAGUAAUCCGUCACUUCGCCCGAAAAGCACUAUAGGGGAUUCCGGCCAAGCGAGCAUAAAAAUACAAUACCCAACUUUCUGUUUCAGCCCACUCCACUUCAUUGACCGAGACUUUCUAUUCCGAACCGGUUCGGUUAAAGACCUAGCCACGAGACCAACUCCGGGCUGUCUCGUAAAAGAUCAAUUCCCAGAUGCUCUUACUCGACGCCCACAGGCAAGCUUGUUUAGAGAAGGAGAGUUCUCUUCAUCAGGGAAACUGCUCAACCUCCACUAUUUCCAUAAGCAUGAUUAUGCACUAGCAGACAUAAAGUGCCAAGAAGAGAAAACGCAUAACUCAUAAGCCAAAGAUGUAUUCGAUCCUGAAUUGAACGUAAUUUUUUCCGAUUGGUUGGAAGGUAAGGAUAGCAUGAUUGACUGGUUGCGGGUCCCUUGGAUCAUGGGCCACAGCUAUUUGGAUAGAUUCAGAUCCUUUCAUGUAGUAGAGUCUUUGAUGGGCUCGGAUCCUUUUCAUGAUUUCAUGUGAGGACACCUUUGGCGGGCUUUUUUGAUAGAUCCAGGAUUUCUGUGCGAUAUCGAUCUUCUCUUUAUGGCUUUGGUUAAUCUAUCGUCUAGCUGUCUUGGUCUUCCGAAAAGGCGAAGACAAACGCAUGGAUUUACUUUAUUCUAUGACUAAACCAGAAUCACCCCGGAGUGAGCUGUUCCAUAAGGGGCUCAUAUUAUCCGACAGAGCAGAGCUAUCAUGCCGAAGAAGCCUUUUUCUUUCUACGCCCCGGUGGCAUCUUGACUUUCCUAGGUCUCUAAUAGUUCCCCAUAAAAGAGUCAAUGGGCUGAGCUGAUCGAGUCCCAUUUUCUGGCUGCAAGGCCCGGCCCGAGUAGUCAAUGGUUGCUACCGCUCACUGCGCUUCUCUGUACCAUUUCAUUUCUAGUCAAAAUGGAUGCUGGGCAUAUCUACUGACCCGACAAGCUGACGUAAUUCUAUCCAUCCGUAGCUGUCUGUGCCGCUACCUCUAUCCAGCAGAUCCAGUGCCAACCGAUCUAUAUCUAGCUUUGGCCGGCCGGGCCAACCCACCUAUACAGAGUUGAUGCCAUGCCCGCCUAACCACGAAAGAAAGCAUCCAAUAUUUCAAGACUUUCUCCACAGAGCUCUAAAAUCCUUUCUCCGAAGAUCCAGGCUCACUUUUUCAGGCAAUGGAAUGACCCGAGCAAAGGAAAGGGAUCAAGGCAAUAACUACGCGCAUCAAGGUGAUACCUAGACCGAGCGAAUCUGACCGUAGCCUAUCAUACUGAGUGAAAGCGUGCCGAACCAAGGGAACUUGCCUUUAAUCUUAGGCUCGCAGCUACUAGGUGCGUACCCUUGAACCUAGCCCGCCCUAGGGUACAGGCAUUGAAAGACGGCUUUCAGAAUAGGCUUUUUUGUACGAAGAGAAGGUUACACUACUAUAUAAGAUAAGUAAUUCAUUAUAAGAUAAGUAAUUCAUUGUGCUAAAAGAACCACUUUGAGGAUCAAUCCCUUACUGAAUGAAUGUCCUUUUGAUCAGUGAUCACAGAAGGAGAAGGCACUGUGAAUGAGAACCUCUUUCCUUUCUAGCUACCAAACGUGCUAAUAAAAGAGCUUAUUCUGAGUUUGAAUUCCUCGAAUUCUGUAAGCUAGCUUGGUCUACCUGCUUUGUUCUGAUUUCAUUGUAUUCCUCCGUAUUCAGCAUUCGCGCCGGUGUCACAAAAAGCAAAAGCAUAUCAAUUCGUUGAGGCAACUAGUCUUGGUAAGGUUUUUUCCACUGAAUGAGAAGUUUGUAUGAUCCAGAUGUUUUGAAGGCGUGUUUGCCCCUGUGAUACGCGUACGAGGAGUCGACGGGGAAGAGCCGUGCUGGGGUUGGAAGAGGUUCCAGCUUUAGAGGAGCCUCCCUAUCUUAUCCCUUGUUGGUCUUAUUUGACAGCUCAGCUUUGUCUCGGGCAGAUUUUGGUCCAUGAUGGACUCUUUUUAUUUAUUUUGACGAUUGGAUUUCUAUAUGAAUGGAAAAGGGGUGCUUCGGAUCGGGAGUAAAGUGAUAGGGCACAAAAUGGGGGGAAAAAGAAAGGAAAGAGAAUAAUGCCCACGUUUAAUCAAUUGAUUCGUCAUGGUAGAGAAGAAAAACGGCGCACGGACCGUACUGAAGUUUUGGUCUUUGGUUUGCUGGUUACACGUAUUAUCCGUUUUGUACAUUCUGUUUUGUUUCCCAUCCCAGUCUUUUGCAGCAUAAAAGUCCUUUUAGAUUCCUUUUGUUCGCUUCCUAUUAUAAACAAACUUUCCAAAAAAUGGCAACUGAUUUGGUUUUAUGUUAUUUCAGUUAUUCUCUGUAAAUCUUUAUUUGCUGUAGGAUACUUGUGGAUGGACGACUUAAGUCGUGCCAUUUCUCAGUUCUACCCGGUGGUAUCCGGAGGACUAGGAGGAGGAAAUACGCCAAUGCCCCCGACAAAUCCAUCUGAGGGUGGUCUUUUAGAAGGAUAUUAUGCUCAUGAGAAUGAGCACUCUCACAAUCAGCAGAGGGGUUCACCUUUCUGGUCGAAAGAGUACAAGGAAAGUGGCUCAAAACGCCUUUUCUUGAACCUCGAGGUAGAGGAUCAAAACACAGAUACCAUCGGGGAGCAAGUAAAAGCAGAGAGUGAUAAAUGCGAAAAAAUCAAGGCAAAAAUAAUAGCAAAAACACAUGAACUCUUAGUAUCCGAAGGUUACCAUAUUCCGGAUGAACGGGAUAUAGAACGAGCAAUAAAUGUUGUGAUGACUGAACAUGAAAUGAUCGAUAUCGAUCGGCGUAAGAAAAGAUUCUACUAUCUUUAUUCCCGGUUAGGAAAAAACGGAGACAAGUUUUGGGUGGAGCUACUGGAAUUGCUGUCUGACUACGACAUAAAUAAAAGCGAUUCCGACGACUAAACCGCCAUUUCAGGUUUACGUCUUUUGUUAGGUCUCGACUUCUUCGCUAUGAUCUUCCCGGUAGUUCAUAUAGGAGCUAUAGCCGUUUCAUUCCUUUUCGUUGUUAUGAUGUUCCAUAUUCAAAUAGCGGAGAUUCACGAAGAAGUAUUGCGCUAUUUACCAGUGAGUGGGAUUAUUGGACUGAUCUUUUGGUGGUGAGUUUCCUUUUUUCUUUUUUUCGCUAUGCGCCGCUCCGCCAGCAAGGAGUGCCACGCACAAGCAGAGCGAAAACAAACAAAGCAGGGGAGGGGGAAUUAUUCGUUGGGGGAAAUCCUUUGAUUGCGUAUUAUAGAUCCAUGUCUUUCUUGUUCCACUAGCUAGGACAAAAUUUGCACAUGUCCGUUUCGUUAUUACAACCUUCUUUUUUGAUGUCAAAGACCAGAAGCUACGCGCAAAUUCUCAUUGGGUCUUGGUUGUUCUUAACAGCGAUGGCUAUUCAUUUAAGUCUUGGGGUAGCACCACUAGAUCUUCAACAAGGUGGAAAUUCUCGUAUUCUCUAUGUACAUGUUCCUGCGGCUCGGAUGAGUAUUAUUGUUUAUAUCGCCACGGCUAUAAACACUUUCUUGUUCCUAUUAACAAAACAUCCCCUUUAUCUUCGCUCUUCCGGAACCGGUAUAGAAAUGGGUGCUUUUUUUACGUUGUUUACCUUAGUUACUGGGGGGUUUCGGGGAAGACCAAUGUGGGGGACCUUUUGGGUGUGGGAUGCUCGUUUGACCUCUGUAUUCAUCUCGUUUCUUAUUUACCUGGGUGCACUGCGUUUUCAAAAGCUUCCUGUCGAACCGGCUUCUAUUUCAAUUCGUGCUGGACCGAUCGAUAUACCAAUAAUAAAGUCUUCAGUCAACUGGUGGAAUACAUCGCAUCAACCUGGGAGCAUUAGCCGAUCUAGUACAUCAAUACAUGUUCCUAUGCCCAUUCCAAUCUUGUCUAACUUUGCUAACUUCCCCUUCUCAACCCGUAUCUUGUUUGUUCUGGAAACACGUCUUCCUAUUCCAUCUUUUCUCGAAUCUCCUAUAACGGAAGAAAUUGAAGCUCGAGAAGGAAUACCAAAACCUAGUUCACUCGCUCUCUUUGCAUCCAUGGCUGAAUGGUUAAAGCGCCCAACCUAAUAAAGAGGCAAGUAGGUUCGAUUCCUGCUGGAUGCACUUGGAACGUUCAGUUCAAUCGCAGCUCACAGAAUCUAAAGAGAUAGCUCGCCCUUAUAGCUUAUGGGGCAUUUCACUCGCUCAACACUCGUUCAAAACAUCCACUCGUUCAACAGGAAAGAAAAGGUCCAAAGGAUCUACUUCUCAGGAUGGAAAGAAGCAAGAAAGUCUAGAGAGUCGAAAUGACCUUGGUCCAACCAUAGUAGGACUGAUUCGGAAGAUUCUAUCCUAUUCUUCUAAAAAGGAGUUCUCUAAUUUAACUGGACUUGAAAGCGGUGGAUCAAGCCCCCCUUUUUCUUUGGCUGUGUCCAAGUGAAGUGAAACUCGGGAAUGAAGCAGAUAGGUCUCAGUCGAAGAAAGGUAGCCCUAUUGGGUCUGGGAUUGCUUACCUUUCUUUCCUUCUACAGUACGCCUUAGGUUAUUCUAAACCUCCACUCUCAGUCUACUUUUGAAUCGAUUGCCUUACCUAUACCGACCCUACUCAACAGGGGCCGUGAACUAUGAAAAGCCUGCCAGGCAGAGAAAAAAGUGCAAAAGCGAUUGAACAAAGUCGCUCCGGUUUGGAUGCAGAUGAGGGAGAGGGUGAAAGCUUUCAUUUAAAGGUAAAGGGAAGGGAGGAGGACAAGUAGAUCUUAUCCUGCGUGCAGUAAGUAUGAAGAAGAGAGCCAGGUCACUAGCUAGGUAAGGGUCUACGAUUGCUCUGCCUACCAUAAAUAAUUUUAAUUGAGCCUAUACUCUUUGGAAAUUACUGAAAGAGAGGCCUAGGAUUGCUCACAGAUCUGCUUAAAGGAACUUAAGAUAAGUGCUGGACAUGCUUUGUUGAGGGGCUCAACCAAUCAAUAGCUUCGCUUACUUCCCCAGAGUCUUUUGCCUACUUAUUGACCACUGACUCCUAGAUCAGCUAACGACUCUUUUGAAAGCAUACAGAUCCCCAAUGACAAUAUCGUCACCCGUGGGAUUGGGGGCUAUGAGUUGAACUAUGCCUGCAAUCCGUUGACAUGGGUACUAUUCUUCAGGGACUAUCCCACAUCGACGACAACUACUCUCUUUUCUGUAAAAGAUUGCUGCUUAAAAAGAAGUCUGACUCUUCUUAUAUCAAUCCCCCUUCCUUCUGGAAUACGACAGCUACUACUUUGAUUGAAAAAUUAGAACGACUGCUGAUGUGUAAGCGGGAGGCAUACUUUGAUGUAUCAAGCGCUACGCACUAACUUCUGCGUCCUUCUUCAGACAGAAUAUCCUUGCUCCCAUCUAUUGGAAAAUCCACUCAGAGACUCAAUAGUUGAUAAUAGUUGAAUAGCUCCUCCGGUAGCCGGACUGUCAUUCCCACUUUUUUCUGACCUUCCGGUUCUGAAUCCGUAGGACACUUCUCUGUUCUCAUGUAUACCUACACGAGAUCUCGAACUUGAAACGAAACAUCACUCUCCUCUUUAUUUUACCUUUCUCUCUAUCCAGGGGCCAAACUCACACUUUCAGGAGCUAUAGCAUACAUGGAGCCAGCAGGGAGAGCCUUCUUGAAUAGCAAAAGCCUUAAGCUUCAGACUAGUUCUAACCCCGAUCCUUCUUCGGCGGAUCUGUCCUUGCCUCUUUCCUGAUACAAAAACUUGCUUUUCAUUUUAUAUAGAUGGAAAAGUUAGCAAUCCUAUUUUCCUUCGUAAGAGCACAUCUUACAUCGCAAACUUUCUCUUUAUAUACCGACGAUUUCUAUCAAAAUGGCAUCAAUCUCACAAUGUGGUUUGAGCAAUUCUAUGACCAGCAAAGACUAGAAUUCCCUUGUCAUGAGGUAGUCUUAGGUUCAUGAAUUUUUCGGGAUUAAACAAUGCUAACUUCCUUGCUACUAGCUGCUUCUUAAAGUGUGUUUGACACCCACCAGAUCCAAUGAAACUCACAAGCUUAUCUUCGUCAGUGGAGUUAACUUGAUCAAUCCACAACCUCAAAACUAUACCCAUCAGCUUUACCAACAACAACCAAUCCGUAAGUAAUUCUAGAGACUGCCCUUGUAGCUUUAUCUAGUUCUGGUUGAACGAGAACUUUAUAAUUAAGCCUACUAAUCAUACCUCCAACCCCCCAACACAGGGAAAAUUCUGGGGUUCCAAAGCUGGCAGGCUAGGUUCCCGUUUCUUCCUCUUCUUAACCUUCUUUCCCUUCACAGCUCUAAUGCCUCGCCAGAGCUCUUUGACGAACUCACUUUUCAGCACAAGUUCUUCCAGGAUCAAAGGAUGCCAAAAAUCAGAUCUUAUUAACUUCCUCGUGGCUGAUCUCGUUGGUCCCAUCUUCUCCGCUUGUUUCAGCUGCAAGCGGAAACGUGUUUAUGAGGAAGAUCCUUGACAAUCUAAGAUCCUUACCGUCUUCCUGAUUCCCUGUAAACCCAAUUCAUGAAGCUCUCCCAUUAGCUUCAGAACUCUAUCACGACUGUAAACCUUCCCUACCCAGUCCCACUGAGCUUGUUCAGGCGAUAAUCCACCCGGCUCCCACACAUGGUUAGCUCGUCCAGGAUCGCAAGGUCGUUCACUCGCUACACGAGCGCUCUUCAGCGACAUACUAUCGUAACCAAGAUCAAGCAGAAAUUCCCAUGUCCGAGGUCUAGAACACAAGGGCAAAGUAGGAGAUCGGAAACGCAUACCAUAUCUCGCAGAAGGUCGUGUAGAGCCAUCGCUAGAUCUAACCUUGGACGAGUGAGCUCUGUCACGCUUCCCUGGUUUUCUUGCCCGAGCCCUGCGGUAGUUGCGCUUGCCAAGAAACCUUUUCGGACCGCGAGAUCGUCUUGCCCGAGGAGUCGCAAAAGCUCCAGAUGCAGGAAAUCCCUUCUGAGUUGGACCGCUCACCACCUGCUCGAUGAAUUUCCCAAGCGACGGAUCUGGGUCUUCCUCAGCUUCAGGAUCGGCGGAUCUCUUCAUCGUCGUCAUGCGAUGGAAAAAAACAUCUGCUCCACCCGAGCGAGAAUCCGCCUGAUCAGCGCUAUAUCGUUACUAUCCAAACCCAUUGUCGAAAUCGUCGUUGGAUACCCACAGUCAGAAGACCGAAGGCUCUGAUACCAUCUGAUAAGACCCGAGAUGGAUCUUCUCGGUAGAAUAGAGAAAGAGAUGAAAAUAUAGAAGAAAUUGGGAGAAAGCUUGGCUGAUUCGAGACGCCACUCUUCCAUCUUUACAUAGCAGCCCCUCUUUUUUCCGUAUAACCAGAUUCCAGGUUCUUUCCCUAUCGGGCUUGUUGUAACACAGUUCUUAACUCCGGAUCAGCUUCAACUUGAGAUAGUAAUUCUGCUGCAUCGAAAGAGGGAGGAGGUGCGAAUACAAGUUCCAACAGACGCUCAGGUUGCACUCGUCUUGACAACGCAUCAGCAGCCUUAUUUUUAGUUCCCGGCUUAUACUCAAUGAGAAAAUCGAAGCCUAACAGUUUGGUAGCCCAUCCUCUGUUGUUCCUUGGUGACAAACCUUUGUUCCAGCAAGUGCUUUAGACUCUUCUGGUCUGUGCGUAUCGUGAAACGUUGCCCUGAUGUCUCCAACGUUGGACUGCCAAGACUAUUGCUAAGAGCUCUCGUUCGUACACUGAUUUCAAGCUCCCCUUUUCAGAAAACCCUUGGCUGAGAUACGCAACAGGCCUGUUCCCUUGUAAUAAAACAGCUCCAAUUCCAUUUCCCGACGCGGGUCACAAAAGGUAGCUUCAAAUCUGGCAAGGCUAGAACAGGAAGCGUCGUCACUGCUCCUUUGAGAGCCUUGAAAGCUAGUGCUGCCAUUUCUGUCCAUUUUAAACUGUUCUUUUUGAGUAACUCGGUCAACGGUCUCACAAUUUUCCCAUAAUUCUUAACGAAUCUCCUGUAGUACCCCGUCAAGCCCAAGAAGCCUCGCAAUUCUGUUGUGUUCUUUGGUUCUGGCCAACCCACCAUUGCUUCUAACUUAGCUGGAUCAGCUGACACCCCUUCGCCCGAUAUAAUAUGUCUAUGUCCCAAAUAUGCAAUCUGUGGUUGUCCAAAAGCACACUUCUUUCUGUUUGCAUAAAACUGGUGUUGUUCCCAAAUCUGGAGCACCAUUCCCAAGUGAUUCAUGUGUUCCUCCGUGCCCUUGCUAUAGACUAGUAUGUCAUCAAAAAAUACCAACACAAACUUCCCUACGGAAAAUAUCGUUCAUCACGGAUUGGAAUGUUGCUGGUGCGUUGGUAAGCCCAAAUGGCAUGACCAGGAACUCAUAGUGCCCUUCGUGAGUUCGAAAGGCAGUUUUCUUCACGUCUGUGGCUCGUACACGUAUUUGGUGGUACCCGGAUUUGAGAUCGAGUUUGGAGAAUACAGAAGCUCCUUGUAACUCAUCCAACAGUUCCUCGAUCACGGGAAUUGGGUACCUGUCUGGUACCGUGAGCUUGUAAAAGGCUCGGUAAUCCACGCGCCGUAGGCCAUCCUCCGUCCUUCUUUUGGACGAGCAAAACUGGACUUGAAUAUGGACUGAUGCUCGGCUGGAUGAUCCGUGCUUCUAACAUCUCCCUAACCAAUUUUUCAAUCUCGUCCUUCUGAGUAUAUGUAUACCGGUAAGGACGGAUGUUAACUGGUUCUGCUCCUUCCUUAAGGUUGAUAGCAUGUUCCCUGCCACAUUUUGGGGGUAAUCCUUGCGGCAUCUCAAACACGUUUUCAUGCCAUUCCAACAACUGUUUCACUUGAGCAUCCUCAGGAAAAUUUUGAGUCUUAAUUCCUCCUGCAAAACAGUGCGGUGAGCUCUAGGAGAUAAUAAGCCUUCCUUCCCUCUUUGACUACCGAAUUGAGAGAGAUUUGAGCUCGCACCAGUGACGGAUCGCCUGCUAAGGUGACCCACUGAUCUUCCCUACGGAAACUCAAGGUGUGUCUUCCCCAAUUCAUUCUGGUGUCACCCAGAGUAGCCAACCACGCAUAACCCAGCACUAUAUCCAUGGUUACAGGAAGAAGUCCGCACGUAUCUGCACAUCUUGGACCGUUAGCUCUACUCCGCUGCAUUUCCCGGCACUUGGAACGACUUGACCAUUUCCAAUAGAAACCCCAAAUCCACGAGUUUCUGUGAUUUGCAGACCACACCGAUGUGCUACACUCUCUGCUAUGAAAUUGCUUGUAGCCCCUGAAUCAAUUAAAACAAUGACUUCUUGUCCUGCAAUUUGUCCUCUCAUCCUCAUGGAUCUCUCAGUUGUUAAACCUGCCAUCGACCGCAAAGACAACCAGAGUAAUUCCUUUACUUCAUCCUCAUCUGAUUCUUCUAUCUUUUUCCCUGUUUCAGCUUCAUCAGCCUCAUCCAACUCAUCUCCUUCAUCCACAGCCAUAUACUUUAAUUCUCUGCCCUUACAUCUGUGACCAGGAUUCCACUUGUCACCACAACGAAAACAAAGCCCCUUGCUCUUUCUAUCCUGAUCAAACGGUUUCCGGUAUGGUUCCAUUUUACGUUCUGGGGAUCGGGCGGGCCCGGUGAAGAAGCAUUGGAUCCCAGAGAUGGAAUGGGAAAUGGAGAUGUUGAAGAGGCGGGUUGAUUAGUUCUGGUUGGAGGGCUACGAACUCCUUCUCAUUGUUCCGCUCCUCUUCUCUUCUUUAAUGGUUGACCAGGCACUGAAGGUCGAUCAUCUGUGUUCACCUGGUAUGGAUAUAAUUGAAGAGUGGAGGUAAAGGGCUCCUGUCAUCCGGCAAUGCAAGACCCACUCCAGAUCGAUGCCUCUUGGUCAGACCAUUUCCGUAUACUGAGAUUGACGACAUAGCGAGAACACCGAGAUCAUUCCGUAAGAGGGUAUUGCAGUGGUUAUUGAAUUGUCAACAAUCCUCUCUUCACAUUUGCUAGAAAGAAUUUUGAGGGCUUCUUUGGAGAGUGAAUAGCUAUUCUUUUUCUCACAUCUCGAUUUCCGCCUUCUUUGGAAAGAUAAGAGACUUUGCUGCUCUCCUCCCACCUUCAACUAAGGUAGUCGCUUAGCUAACUAAAAAAGCAUCCUCUAACGAGCACACCACUGUAUAUUUUUUUUAUUUAGAUACCCUCAAAGCAAAGGUGAGGAAUAGGGCUAGCUAACAAGUAAACGAGAGACGUAAGUGAACGAAGUUGGCAUCUUCUAGCUAAGCAAGCAAAUAAACAACUUCUCUUUGUUGCGAAGUGAGCCAGGUAAGCAAGGAAGUAAUAGAAAGACUCUCAAGUGUAGCUCUAUCUAAACGCUUCAGCAAACCCUUGCGAGCCCAAGUCAACUUCGGACCAACGAACUUCAUGUCAUAGAGACUAGAGGAAUGGAACCAACUCAAACGACACGGCCGAUUACCACUAGCUGAGCCACCCCGGCUAUCUGAACUACACAGAAUGGAAUGAAAGUCCCCCCACCUAUUAGCCAAGGAUCAGAUAUCAUAGAUGCCAAGCUACUCAACUGCUCCCAGAGAGCACGCCGCAAAGUAGCAUUAGGACUAGCAUAGACUGCCGUUACCCAGGACAGAAAAGCAUUAUUCCGAUAAACACUAAAAUGAACAUACUGGCGAUGAACAAUCUUCACCUCCAACUCAGCUUUCCAAAGAAGCCAAAUCCCCCCAGAAAACCCUCUAUCUCCAAGCCCCUUUACUAGGUUGGGCAAGCUUGGAUGCCCUUACUCCCACAACAAGUUGCUGGUCGGGAUCGUGAAACUCUCGCUCGAAAAGUAAGCUGGUCCUUGUUUGGUCAUAAGGAUAAUCGUUCUUAUUAGGUUAGGGGCGGCCGGUCCGGGGGUUACCCGCGAUUGGUAAUGGCAUAAGCAGAAGAGGGAUAGGGGGACAAGGUUACGCGCUGGGUAGCGCAGCGCAUCUGUUUCGGGUACAGAGGCGACGAGGGCGAAGCAGGCCACCCAACCCAACAGGUCAGAAACCGGAUGAUGGGAAUAACGAAGCAGAAAUCUUGAAAUGAGCACGAAAUGUCAAUAUCAAUAUAUGAAUUCUUUCAUUAUUCGUUAUUUCCGGGUCUUUUUGUUGCAUUCACUUACAACAAGAAACAACCACCAGCGUUUGGUGCAGCACCUGCAUUUUGGUGCAUUCUUCUUUCUUUCCUUGGUCUUUCGUUCUGUCAUAUUCCUAAUAACUUAUCCAAUUACAACGUAUUAACCGCUAAUGCACCUUUCUUUUAUCAAAUCUCAGGAACAUGGUCUAAUCAUGAGGGUAGUAUUUUAUUAUGGUGUCGGAUCCCAAAUUUUUAUGGAUUUUUUCUUUGUUACCGGGGUCGACCCCAGAGCCAUAAUGUCUUAAAACAAGGAGGCCAUAGGGAAAGUCUUUUUUUUUUUUUUGUCUCGAACUUCGUGAAGAACUCAAUUUUAUCUCUCCCUCGUUACGAACAAGAAAGUGGUUUGAAAAACCAGUUGUACACUCCCUUCGUUCUACGAACCCUUGUUGAUUCUGAACUUCGUUCGCGAAGGAACCGGACUUUUGACGGACCAGCCCUUUUUUAUGCGCCGCUUUAUCCUGAAAGGAAAAUUAAAAAUCCUCUGGACGCUUGGCGCUCCCGUGGUUCGCGAGAAGGAAAAAGGACUCAUCCUUUGUUGCAUCUGGCACGAGAUGAUAAAGAGAGAGCUUCGUCUAUCGAUGAACAGCGAAUUGACGGAGCUCUUGGCAUUGCUUUGUUUUUCUCUCCUUUCCUAUCAGCGAGUUCCGAUCCUUUUGUUCGAAAUUUCUUUGUUUGUACCGAACCGCUUGCAGAAUCAAAUCCUGUUCCACAAGAUCCUAUAUCAGCUAUACAUCCUCCUUGCAUUUAUGCCGGGGACGUCGCCAGUGCGGAGGGCUUUGGCUUAUGUAGAUCAAAAAUGAUGAAUGGGAUUGUGGCACUCCACUCGCCGCCAAUGCGGAAGGAUGCCGCCGAAAAGAAUGGAACGCUGCUUCGCUCUGCUGGAUGCGUCGGAUCCCGUAUAACAAGCGAGCUUUUUACCCUAAAAUUCAAACAUGUGGGCGCAAAAUGCUAUCCUGCUCUAUUGUUACGUAGCAAUAGAAGCCCGCUCAUGCUGCUUCGGCGGCGCUUUUUCGCCUUCUCUUCGUUCUGGGCAGGAGCGAGAAGCCACUCGACUAAAAGGUACUGACGUAACUCUCAACUAAAAAAAGGAGAGGAACCCUAAUGACUCGACUAAAAGGAGAGGAACCCUAAUGACUCGACUAAAAGGAGAGGAACCCUAAUGACUCGACUAAAAGGAGAGGAACCCUAGUGACUCGACUGAAAAGGAGAGGAUAGGAGCGCUAGUGGACACGGGGAGGGAAAGAAGACUGGAACCGUGCAUCUUUGCUUAGCAUGGUUCGACAAAAGAAAGAGGUGGAAAAUGGACCGAGAAAAUAAUGCUUUGUGAACCCAAUUGCUUUGACAAAAAUAUAUGAAGAAUCAGUGCUAUUGAGGAACAUUUUAUAGAAAGAAAAGAAAAAGAAGCAAUAGUAAAGAGAGAAGAAAGCAAGACUUAGAAAGAAGACAAUAAGUAAGAGAACUACGAUUUACUUGAUUCCCAAAGGGGUACGUAGGCAGCCAAGGACGAAUCCUGGUCCAGUUCUUUGCUAGUAAGUGAGGAAAAUAUAUCACACUUUUUUUGAAAAAAGUUCGUAGUUAAUCUACCUCGGACGUACCCAUGGCGUGUGGGGUUCGCGUGGGGAACCGAGUAACCAAAGUCACGAUCAGUCUAAGGUUGAAAUCUGGAUGGUCUUUUUGCCAGACGCGCUGGUUCGAGUCCAGCUCGUGACAAAAGGCUACCCUUUCUCUUAAGAGAAUAUCGAUAUCCUCAAAAAUGAGAAAUGGAAAGCAGCUUCACAUCACAAGUGAGGAAGCCACCGGUGAUCAGCUCAAUGAUCGUAUACGCUCAAUAGAAUAUGUACGCGCGGGCGAAAGAAUUAAUGCUGCUUCUGCCCGCCCCUGCUUCUAAGCCUUUGUCACCCUCGCCGCCUAUUCAUUGGAUUAAAGGAGCGGUCUGUAUAACAUGAGAGAGGAAACACUAGACGGGAGGAUCAAUUUAUAGCACAUGACAGUAGCAUGACGGAAGGAAUGACAAGACUAAGCGAAAUGCCACCUGAAAGGACGAAAAGAAGAGACUGAAGCAAAAGCCGAAAAGAAAAGCGUGACUGGACUGAAGGAAUGGAGGGAAGCUCUUAUUAACGGCCAAAGCUAAACUCCGCUUAGCCCGGACAGGGACAACCAAAGCAGGAACUUAGAGACUCCUAGUAAUACAUCAUACCUACUAAAUCAGUCUAUUGGGGCUAUAGGUGUUCCCCCGGGGAAAAUAACCAAUGGAGUUGAUUACGUUGUGAGUAACCGAGGAAAGGCGUAACAUUCCAUAGUUAAGGGUCGUUCAUUAGCCCUACUAGUCAAGCACGGGAAGCUAACUUUCUAUCAACAAAGCUAGCGGGGUUUCCGGGCCUUGUUUUGGUCCAAUGUGAAAAGCUACAUCCGAGGAAUCGUAUGAUUCAGAUACCUGACGAAAUAAAGAGAGAAAAGAUCGGGAUAGCUGGGAUGACCUAUUUCAAGAUCAGAUGAUCCACCAGCUUGUCUGCUUGUGAGGUUGAGGAUUUGACUGUUAUGAUCUCUUGGCCCGUGCCUCCGUAGUGUAGUGUAAGUUCUUAGACCAAGAUUCGAAACCUUGUCUUUCCCGCUUCCCUUCGCAGGAAAUUUUUUACAGAAAGUAGCGACACUGAUACCUUAGAACUAACAAGUACCAGGCCUAGACCGGGGAGUCGGAACUAAUAACAGCUUUUAUAAACUCCAAAUCCAACUCUUCCAACUCCAAGUUGAACGCAGGAAACUCUACCUACAACCCUCAAUUCCGGAGGUUGGCAGCUCAUCAACUACGAGAAAAAUGUGAUCGCAAUCAAGCACAUAACAUUGAAUCUCGUGCAAGACAUUCUUUAGCUAAGUCUAUAGCAGCUGAUUCAAUAGCGGAUGUGGUCUUGUUGAAGGCUUUUUGACUUCUAUUGAGAGCAAAGUCCUUACUUACCAGACCGGGCUACUUGAAUAAGCAGAAAGAAAAAAUGUCACGAACCCAACUCCUAGGUCACUAGGAAGAAGAAUGGAGGGAAAUAGAAGAGGUCCUGUAAAGAAGCUUUCAUUCGAUGCUUCUGAUUCAACUCCCAGACAAACAAGGAAGUAUGCGCGAAGAUAGGGUUAGUCCCUGCGGCAGGCAUUAUCCGGGAACGAUUAUCCAGGAACUUACAGAAGGUUGGCGUGACACGCCUAAAUCCACAACGCUUCAGGCGAAGAGAUAUAUCUUUCCGCUUUAGCGGCUUGAACCCUUCGAUCAAGAGAUACCUUAAAUAAAAUCAACUAAGUAGCUGACCUCUUAGACGUUCGUGGGUAUUCAAAUUCAUACAUAAUCUUCUCCGACAUGAGAUAGAGUGAGAGGGCCUGGCCUAUUCCAUAGAACAAACUCAGCAAAUCUUGAUCCGUAUUCCACCUCAGAUGGUAGAAGGGGCAACUCAGCCUUGUCUUUUUCUUUGGGCUAGGAACCCAGGAGAAUGUUCAAAGCGAUAAGAGAACAGGUCUUUUCAGAGAAGCUCUUGCCGCUCUUCUGUUAGAGCUCUUUAGUCCCAUUCCUAACAACAGGGGACUAGCUACAGGGAACAAGGGAACAAGGGAACAAGCUACACAGGCACUAGCAACUGGGAACAAGGGAAACACCAACUCCCAACUUCCCUAGCCCAACCUUCUCAACUUCCCUAGCUUGCCUGGCCCAACCUUCCCUUCCUUUCCUCACAUCCCUAACCAACUGACCUAAUCCACCUUCCCCUAACCCACCUUCUUCUUUACUAAACAGAGAACCAGACCCACCUUCCUCUCCAUGUUCUUCUACUUCCCUCUCAAAUACCGCUUUCUUCAUCUACAGUUCUUCCACUACCUCAAAACCACUCCUCUCACCCCAUGCUUACCAGAUCAAAGGCUGGCAUAAACAAACUAAAUCCCAAGUAUAGUCUCACUAUUACUACCACUAUUAAAAAAGAACCAAAAUCUGUUAUUUUUGCCCUUAAGGAUCCAGGAUGGUGUCAAGCAAUGCAGGAAGAACUUGAUGCUCUCUCUCGGAACAAGACUUGGAUACUUGUUCCACCUCCAGUUAAUCAGAAUAUUCUUGGUUGUAAAUGGGUCUUCAAAACCAAAUUACAUUCUGAUGGUACUCUUGAUCGCCUAAAGGCUCGCUUGGUUGCUAAAGGGUUUCAUCAAGAAGAAGGUAUUUACUUUGUUGAGACCUACAGUCCGGUUGUGAGGACAGCCACUAUUCGUACUAUCUUGAAUGUUGCACAACAGUUAGAGGUUGGCCAAUCAAUCAAUUGGAUGUUCAAAAUGCAUUUCUCCAUGGGUAUCUUCAAGAAAAAGUUUAUAUGCAUCAAUCUCCUGGUUUUACGAAUCCUAUUCAUCCAUCCCAUGUGUGUCUGUUGAAAAAGGCUCUCUACGGAUUGAAACAGGCGCCUCGUGCUUGGUUCGACAAGUUUAGCGAUUUUCGAUUUUCUUCUGGAGUUUGGGUUUGUCUGCAGCUCAGCUGAUCCUUCUCUGUUCACGUAUCACAACAAUUCUGAUGUCAUGUAUCUGCUUCUCUACGUGGAUGAUAUUCUUCUCACGGGCAGUUCCAACACUCUGCUCAAUAUGUUGAUCUUUCAGCUCAGCUCCACCUUCUCAAUGAAAGACCUUGGACCAGUCCACUAUUUUCUGGGAAUUCAGAUCAAAACUCAUCCUUCGGGUCUGUUUCUAUCCCAAACCAAGUAUGCUGAACAGAUUCUGAACAAUGCAGGGAUGUUAGAUUGCAAACCUAUGUCUACUCCUCUGCCCCUUAAGCUCAACUCCUCUGUUUCCACUGCUAAGUAUCCGGAUCCUUCAGACUUUUGCAGCAUUGUAGGUGCUCUCCAAUACUUAACUCUCACUCGACCAGACAUAAGUUAUGCCGUGAACAUUGUCUGUCAGCGAAUGCAUGAGCCUACACUCGCUGAUUUUGAUCUCCUGAAGCGUGUCCUUCGCUAUGUUAAAGGCACCAUCUUUCAUGGGCUGUAUAUUCACAAAAAUAGCAAGCUCAAUGUUCAGGCCUUCUGUGAUAGUGACUGGGCAGGAUGUACAUCCACGAGGAGGUCUACAACUGGAUUCUGUACGUUUCUCGGAUGCAAUAUUAUCUCCUGGUCCGCAAAACGCCAGCCUACAGUGUCUCGUUCUUCUACGGAAACGGAAUAUCGAGCCCUUGCACUAACGGCUGCGGAGCUCACUUGGUCAUCUGCUUCGAGAUCUCGGGAUCCCUCAGCAAUGAACACUAACUGAAAGCGGCCGAGAAUGAGUACCUAUCCCUUACGGGAAUCGAACCCGUGUCUUCGACAUGAAAAGACGAUGUCCUAACCACUGGACGAAAGGGACCAAAAGGCCAUUCUUCAUAUACCUCAGCUCCGAGAAUAGAAGUGGUUGUGGAUUCGAACCACUGACACAAGGAUUUACAGUCCUUUGCUCUAACCAGCUGAGCUGAACCACUUUUCCAAAAGUCUCUUCUUUUCUUCAUCGAAGAGCGCCCUACCUUACCACUUGACUAGUAAGGGAAAAGCCCUUUACUAAUCUAAUUAAUAGGGAAAACUUCUUCGUCAAGCUUUAGAGCAGCUCUUUCAAUUGACGACUAAUCUCCCAACAUGCUCAAGAACCGAGAGCCGCCCAGGGACUGGACGGCCAUAGGGAGCUUACUUAUGAAGAUAGGCCGGUCAAACAAAAAAACGCGCAACGGGCUCCCCGCUCCUAGUCACUAAGUAGUGCUCUUCUCAUUUCGCCCGCCCGUUUCACUUCCGCGCCGGAGGAAAUGGGAUUCGAACCCAUGAUACAAUCUUCUUGUAUGUCGAUUUAGCAAACCAAUGCCUUAAGCCACUCAGCCAUCCCUCCAAGUUGUUGAUCGGAAUUUUUUGUGCGGUUGGUUGCCCGAAGGGGGCUAUCUGACCCGAUCAACUUCGUAAGCCGUAGCGCGCUAGCGCGCGUACUCUUCCUCUAUCUAUGAGCGAGACAGGCGUUCAUCAUCCAGAAAGAUGCACUGACGUCGUCCCAUUGAAUGAAGAUCUGGGCGAAGUCCGUUGGAAUUAGCCUUGAUAAAAGGUAGCUUUUUAUUUGACCCCUUUCCCUUUUUUUUGAGAGCAAGCGCCUAAAGGAAGGAAAAUAAGAAAAAAAAAGAGGACGAAGCAAACUCGACAAAACACAUCUUUUUUUUCUAUACGAAAUUUGUUCGACCGAGAAUCUCUUGGUGCGCUUCGAUACUGUUAGCAUUCGCAGUCUGAUAAGUGGUGGAUUUAUGAGGGCCCCCCAUAGCUUUUUAGAACCUUGGUUAUUUUACCUAAAACGAAAAGAAAUCAACCUAAGAUUCUGGGAGCGGCGUCAGUGACUGACUCCUUUUAUGCAAUUCGAAAUUAUAAGGAUGGUCACAAGUCACUCAACUCACUUCUUUCUCUUUCCUCACACGUACUUCUAUAGCUUGCUUGAUGACUACUCUGAAAGACUGAUUGAUUCUGAUGGAUGAUCCAUACGCGCGUGUACAGUUCUUUUUGAAUGGCGAAAUGGCUCUCCUGGAGUGAGAAGGCAGAUCGAUGAGGCACAAGAGUGCUAGUUGGACUGAGGUGGGUGAAAGAUUCAAUUCAUUCUCCAUCUUCACCGUUAAGCUUCUUGACUAGACUUUUUGAUCUUUCUCUGUCUGACGCUCGUCAUCUCAUAUCAUCAGAUAAAACGACUAUUAAUUUCAAGUCAGUCAGAAUUUGCGGGAUCUUGACUGUGAGGAGCAAGAAAAGAAAGAAGAACUCAUCAGGCAAGAAGGGGACUUUUCACUCUUUCGGAGAUGUAAUAGAAGAUGCAGACUUCGGGCAUUCAAAUGACUUCCUGUUCUGGAAUGUCAAGCCAUUAGUAGUAGAUGUCGGCAUUUCCUAAAGAAAGCUGUUUGAGUAGCAGGAGGACCCGCGGAGCGCUAAUGAAUAAUCGAAGGCGGAUUAAGAGAAGAGAGCUGUUAGCGUAGAUGAAAGUUGCGGGUUAGUGCUCCAAUAUCCUCAGUAGAUAGAGGUAGAAGAAGAGCUAUAACAGUAUACAUAGUAGGUAGCGAGAUCAAAUCAAACCUAGUGCGUCACUAUCAUCUUACGCACCGAUCGGUCUAUCUGAUCAGGUUCAGUAUCCAAUCCUGUGUAGGGCGGGGGAGCUGCUAGUUCGCUAGGAAAAUAGAAAAAGAAUAUAGAAAAUCUAUAAUCAGUCAAUUGCAAUUGGAGAAGAAAGUUAGAUAUACUUCUCGCUAAUCCUUCUUCUUUUGAUCAGCCUAGCAUCUCCCUCGUGCUUAUUUAUUCUUUAACUUUUACCUACUGCAAGACACAUGCCCAUCCCAAGAGCGCUAUGAGUUCAUAGAGUGGAGAAUUCUUCAUGGUUCAUCCUUUUUUCAUGCAAGGCUAGUACAGAUGGUGAGAAUGCUCUGGAAGAAGGUGUCCCAGUCCGUAGGGGCACUUUCAAUCAACCCGGUGGGCGCUCAGUGACUCGACUGAAACGAGAAGGUACUUAAUUGGUCCAACGGAAUUCUGCUUUAUCAUGAAAGUUAUCGACCGAGGAAUUCCAUUUCGGUAGCAGGCUUCUAAAUACGCUGCUUGCCCGAACCAAGGACCUUCACAUUCUAAUCAAAGGGAAGAUGCUAAGGGUACCGAUAACUUCUGAUUAUGGAUUCUAUCCAAGGAUCGGGUUCUAUCUAUGAUUGGUGCGACGAAUGCGAUGACUCUUGGUUAAGGCCUUGCCUUCCCUCAUCGAUCAAAAUGGCCAGUCACAAUUGUUGCGCCCUGUCUCCCUGCCCUGAGUACGUCCUGGAAAGCGAAUUCUUAAGCUUGGCCCCUCUCUUUAUUUGAAAUGCUUUAGUGAGAUUCACAUCUCGGGAAUAUUCUUCGAUACGAGCUACUGUACCUUUAUCUUAUAAGAACCCUUCUCUACAACCUUCACUAUUUUAUUAGUUUCUAGUAAGUAAGUCUCCUGAUGCUACCCAGAAGCUCCCUCCUGAUUCUCGUUGUUAGGUAUUUUACUUAGGAAAGAGCAGCACUAAUGGGAUAUUUUUAUUAAUGGUAUUCUGCUACCCUCUCCUUUUAGUCGAGUAAUCAAUCCCUCUCCUCAUCAACAAGUGGAAGAGUCACGUCAGUGCCUAAAGGUCAGUUUUAAACUCCGAGACUGCAGCUCCAGCAGAAUCCUUCCUUGGUUCAGAUUCCUUCCCUGCCUUGGGAUGCCUUACUUUCUUUAAGGGAAAAGACAGUAUGAUGGUGGUUUUUUUCCCUGACUUCUGUUUUAGUCGAUCGAGUAGUAACCCACUAGUUAUUCAAGCAGUUUUCUUUCCCCUAUCCCUUUAGCUUUAGUCGGCCGAGCAGGUUCUAACCUUUUCUUUUGGUCGAGUACCUUCGUUCCUCUUCCGAGUGGUCGAGUAACUCAAGUUCCUCCUCUACUAAUUAGUUGAGCCAUUCAGGCCACCCGAUCCCUGUCCCUACCGGAAGCCUACUGUCUGACUCUUAGCCUAGCUACUUAGAUUAGACUGAGCGAAACUCUGCAGCUGCUUAGUUAAGUUCUGCUACUGACUCUCUUUCAGUUGAGGUGGAAUCAAACCCUUCUUUGGCUUAGGAAAAAAAACACCUCUACUUGUUAGUCUUGCUUUUUUUCAAUUCUUUUGGUCGAGGAGUAAGCCUCACCCCAAACCGACACUCUUUAACUUAAUUACUUUUCUUCCGGCGGGGCAUUUUCUUUCCUUGCGUGGAUAUCUUUUACUAGUGAAAGCGGCAUCCCAACUGUCGAAUGAUUGCUAAUCCUCAUUUCCAAAAAGCAUAACUCCUAUCCGUUGCAUCAGCCUCCAUCUGGUUCCUUCAUUUCAGUCUUAGUCCAGCUUGUAACUAACUCCAAACCCUCUUUCUUUCGAGCGAUGGGAUUUGUGACGAAAGCAAGGAAGACUCUUAGUUGUUGAAUGCGAGUCAUUACAUAGGUGGAAUUUUAUAAGCUUCUUUAGGCCCGGCUAGCCCGUAGAGUCUUAGGGGUUUUUCCACUUUUCCUGACGCAAGGUCGGGGUCUUUACGAAUAGGACAAAUAUACACCAACCCUUUGAAGGAUGAGGUUCCAGUUCGCCAUUCCUAUUAUUUAUAGGCUUCCAGUCUCCUCAGAAGUCCGCUCUUCUAUCUUCGCAGAAUUCACUUGGGUCUCUUACUAACCUUCGCAUCUAGGGCAUGAUGUCUUUAUUUAAGAUGUCAAUCGUCUUGUUAUUUUCAAUAAAUUUUUCCAGGCCUCUCUACGGGAUUGGAAGAAGGAGAGGAGAAGGAGAGAGUGAAAGGAGAUAAGUAGAUGUUAUCACAGACGGAGAUGCCAGUGAGAAUACUGAACAGACAACAGCUGAGGAUACACAGCCUAAGCUUUUUGACCAUAAACCAUCCAAUAAUAAAGAGAAGAUGUGGAAGGGUGAAAGAUAGUGUACUAACGAGAAAGGUGAAAAGCUAGGGAAAUUUCUGUUCAAGUUUCAGCUUGAUAGCUAUAUCUUUCCUUUCUUAACUGGGUUUUUUAACUUCACAUAUAGCCCAUCAGCUUGUGACUUCGCACACUCUCAGUUUCGAGAUUGGGAAUCGACAGAACUGCCCUUUCUUAACUUAAUUAUAAAGGGUAGCUUAGCUGGUUAGAUUUACUGAAGGUAAUUCAAUCGCUGAACGUUGAUAAUAGCUUUCGAGAAGAGAUCCUUACUCUCCAGCUAGUUAAAACUUCCCCGAUUAGUAAUGCUCUCACCCUGGGGACAUAUCUCACCUUUGUCAGCAAAACAGUAGAACCAUCUUCAUUUCUCAGUCUCACACUUCCUAUUCCCUUUACUGUUGACAUGGUGUCAUUUGCCAUCUUUACUUGUUUCACUACCAGCAUCUGAUAAACUUACAAACCAUUCUCUUCUUCCGAAAGAACAACCUGUGUCAAGUAUCCAGACUUCCCUUUGUUAGGAAUCCCUAAUUGAAAGUGAGAAGGGACCUACACUAGUAUAUAAAGGACAUGGGCCUCUCCACUCAUUGCCAAUUGGUUUUUAGUUGGAAGCCCAUGAACACUCACAUGGUAUCAAGAGCCAUGGAGGGUUCUCUUAAGUCUUAUCCUUUUCCUUCCAAUAUCAAUAUUACUAGUUGUGUCUCCAUUAAACUCAACGAUCGGAACUAUCUUUUAUACGACGAAGGAAGGGUGCGAUUGAGUCUGCUGAACUUGGGCGAGAGAUGUGACUUCGUUCCUUUCCUUUCAGUCGAGUUAUUUAAACCUCUCCAGAGCUCUGGUGUCUACGAGAAGCUUCAUGAGUCAAACAAUUGAGGAAGCCGAUACUUAUACUUUGGUAGAGAAUCUCGCAUAAAGCAAUGGGAGUCAUGGCUCGGAUUAUGAUCGGACUACAAGGAAAAACAAUGAUGAAUCUCAUCAUGCCAUCCAAGAGCUGAAUGCAAAAAUGGAUAAGAUAUUGAAGCGUGACCAAAAGAAAAGAUGACGGUAAACUCUUGUGAAGAGUAUGGUGGAUAUCAAGGGUACCAAGACUUUGGUGUUGAAGGGUAUGAGGAGCCACAAGAAGAGUUGAACUAUGUUGGAGGUCAAGGAUUCCAACCAAGGCCUUUCAACGAAGGGUUCCAAGCUAGAGGGGCUACUGCUCCAACAAAGACCACCUUACCAAGCGCCCUACCAAGCACCUUACCAAGCCCCUUACCAAGCUCAAGGGAGUUCUUUUUCUGCUCCAACUGCACCAGAUAGUGAGGUGAAGCUAAUGUUGCAACAAUUCCUUGAAGGACAAAAGAAAAGUACCAUUGAGAUGAACACAAAGAUGGACAACAUGUACAAUGAUCUUAAUGGGAAGUUUUAAACUUUGGCCUCUCAUGUCAAAUCUCUUGACAACCAAGUUGCUUAAACCGCCUCUUCAUCAAAGAGACCCAUGGGAACACUACCCGGUAAACCGGAAGCAAACCCAAGGGAACAUUUUACAUAAUGCUUAGAAGUGGAAAAGAGCUUGAGGAAGUUGUGAGAGAUGAUAAGGAAGAGGAGCAAGUUGUUGUGAGAAAGGCUAAACAGAUCGUCAACUUUCCCUUGCUUGGCAUGCUCUCAUCAGCAAGGUAUGGCUUAAGGCGCUGGCCAUUCACCGUGAAGUGUUCACCAUUGACAUCCCAAAGCACUACCGCUCCAUACGGUUUCACUUCCUUUAUGCGAAAGGGUAAAAAACAUCUAGAUCUCAACUUUCCUGGAAAUAACUUGAGUCUAGAGUUGAGGAGCAGCACUUGGUCAUUUACCUUGAACUCCCUUGGUAAGAUCUUCUUAUAAUGCCAAGCCUUAGUCCUCUCCUUGUAGAUCUUUGUGUUCUCGUAGGCCUCUUGCCUUAUUUCGUCGAGGUGGUUCAAUUGGACCAACCGCCUUUCCGAAGCGGUUUUUAUGUCAUAGUUCAACAAUUUUGUAGCCCAAAAAGCUUUGUGCUCAAUCUCAACCGGCAAAUGGCAAGACUUCCCAUAGACAAGAUUGAAAGGUGUGGUUCUUAUGGGUGUCUUGUAUGCCGUCCUAUAUGCCCAUAGCGCAUCGUCAAGCUUGGUGGACCAAUCCUUUCUUGUUUUCCCAACCGUCUUCUCGCUUUGAUUUAUCGGUUGGAGAUUUCCACUUGGCCACUUGUUUGAGGAUGGUAAGGAGUGGCAACCUUAUGCUUCACACCAUGUUUUCUUCAAAAGGUUCUCAAAAACUUUGUUGAUGAAGUGAGAUCCCCCAUCACUAAUAACCACUCGUGGUAUACCGAAUCUUGGGAAAAUCACUUUCUUAAACAUUUUUAGCACAACCUUGGCGUCAUUAGUGGGGCUCGCAAGAGCUUCCACCCAUUUUUAAACAUAAUCUACCGCCAUUAGGAUGUAUUGGUUUCCAUGAGAAGAUGGUUUUUUUCAUGAAAUAGAUGCCCCACACAUCAAAUACUUCUACUUCCAAGAUAAAGUGUUGUGGCAUCUCAUUCCUCUUUGUAAAGUUGCCCUUCCUUUGGCAAGCGUCGCAAGAAGAAACAAACCCAUGAGCAUCCUUGAACGUGGUUGGCCAAUAGAAUCCUGCUUGUAAAACAAACCUUGGCCACUGUUUUAAAUGUUGCGAAAUGUCCUGCAUACUCCGAUGCAUGCAUGGCAAUGGUAGAGAAUGCCCUUCACUUCCUCUUUUGAAAUGCAUCUCCUAAAAAGACCAUCGGAGCAUCUCUUAUACAAAAAUGGCUCAUCCAAAAAAUAAUGUUGCACAUCUCGCAAGAAUUUCUUCUUCCUAUAUCCAUGGAACAUUGGAGGCUCUUGAUCACAAGCCAAGUAAUUAAAAAAAUCGGCAUACCAUGGAAGGUCAUCUUCCAUGCUUUCCAAAAUCAUAACCGCGGGAUACUCUUCCUUCAAAUAUUCGAGCACAUAAUAGACUUUCUCUUCGGGGAGGCUAUCAUCUAUCGGUAUGUCCUCCUCGACCCGAAGUCUAGACAAGUGAUUCGCGACUCCAUUCUCAAUUCCUUUCUUGUCCUUUAUAACCAAAUCAAACUCUUGGAGAAGUAGAAUCCAUCUAAGUAGCCUCGGUUUCGCGUCCUUCUUUGCCAAUAAGUAUCUCAAAGCCGCGUGGUCCGUGUGCACUAUUACUUUGGAGCCCACCAAGUAAGACCGACCUAAACUUCUCAAAGGCGAAAACUAUGGCGAGGAGCGUAAGCGCGGUGGUGGCAUAGUUGACUUGCGCGUCGUCCAAGGUUCUACUAGCCUCAUCUUUUCCCCCUCCCCGGAUCCAUCAUCCUCGAGGAGGAGGAAAUCUAAGUCCAAGACUCUUUUAGUAAGACUAUGGAUUGCUAAUCUGCCUACGCGGAAAAGGAAGCCUUCUCCCUCUCAAACUAAAGAGUAAAGAUAGCCCUUCCUUGCCCUAAAAUACAUGUAACAUUGGAUUUGCUAGUAUUCCUACGGGGCUUACCCCCAGAGCCAUCCUAAUCCAUCUUGCUAAUGUUCCUAAUCCAUCUUUGCUAAUGUUCCGGUCUUCAAACAAGAAAGAGCUAGGGGGCUCGUUCGACCUGACGCUGGUUAGACGUGAGGUCGAACAUGUCCCGCUUCGCCCUAUGGCACUAAGUAGAUGGCGCUCAACUUCCUGUCCUUCCUUUGCCCCAAAACGGCUCCAACCGCGUAGUCACUUGCAUCGCACAUGACCUCAAAUGGUAAAUUCCAGUUGGACUAUGGGCGCGGUCACUAGAGCCUCUUUAAGCAUCAAGAAUGCCUCAAGGCAUUUCUCAUCAAACACAAAAGCCACAUCUUUGCAUAAGAGUUGUGUGAGUGGCCUAGCAAUCUUCGAUAAAUCCUUGAGAAAUCUUCUAUAAAACCCUAAUGUCCUAAGAAGCUUCGAAUACCCUUUACCAAGUUUGGUGGUUGCAAACUUGUCAUCACCUCAAUCUUCGCUUGGUCAACGAAUUUUUUACUUGUUUUGAACAGUAUUCUAAAGACACGUCUUACGAAAAGCAGAUUUAAUUUUUUGAGGAAAUUAUUAAGUGGGAUUCUGAAACGUAUAAUUACAGCUUGCACUUUUAACGAGGAACUCUCGCAAUUAGCUCUACUUUCUUUCUUUCUGGUUUUGGUGUUCCGAUAUCUUUCGUAGGAUGAGUUCGAUCCAUUAGGUUCUUCAAUUUGUUCAGAAAAGAAACAAGAAAGAAGAAAACAUCUUUGAUUACGAUUAAAAGGAACAAUCUCAAAUAGACCAAGAUCUAAUUUCGGGUCAUUUCUUGGUGAACAUGAUCUGCCAUAAUCUCUUCGAUUCCUUCAUUUAUGUGCCAGAAUAAAGAUAGAUUUGGUAGGAAAGUGGAAGAGACUUUAUUGUAUAUGAUAAUCAAAGGGAGUGGGAAAGCUGCAGUAAUUCUUUGGAAAAGCCCGGUUCUCUUUGUCUUCGAGCUUUCAUUUUGUAAUCCACUCUUUCGUUCCUUCAUAUACCUCCCCACCAAUAGAUAGAGACAAAUAGGAAUAACCAAACUACGUCUACAAAAUGCCAGUACCAUGCAGCUGCUUCAAAGCCAACGUGAUGCUCCUUCGUCAGAUGACCAAGAUAUUGCCGAAUACCACAUAUAAUCAAGAAAAGAGUACCUAUAAUCACAUGAAAACCAUGAAAGCCUGUUGCUAAGAAAAAGGUAGAACCAUAAAUACUAUCCGAAAUAGUGAAGGGUGCUUGAUAAUAUUCCAUUCCUUGAAAGCCAGUAAAUACUAGAGCCAAUAAAACGGUAGCUACUAAAGCAUAAACUGCUCGUUUUUCUUUCCCCGCGAGUAUAGCAUGAUGAGCCCAAGUUACGGCAGCUCCGGAUGAAGGGAGAAUAGGGGUAUUAAGAAAAGGGAUUUCCCAAGGAUCUAAAACCUCAAUCCCUUUUGGGGGCCAAAUACCUCCGAUCUCUACCGCAGGUGCCAAAGAAGAAUGAGAAGAAGCCCAAAAAAAAGCAAAAAAGAACAUAACCUCCGAUACGAUGAACAGAAUAGAACCAUAUCGAGGUCCUAAUUGUACGACUUUGGUAUGAUGUCCUUCCAACGUGGAUUCACGUAGAACAUCGCGCCACCAUACGAACAUGGUAUAUAGGAUAAAUAUGAGGCCCAAACUUAGAAGUCUUGCACCCCCUUGAAAUGGGUGCAUGUACAUCACACCUCCUACGGUGGUUGCCAAAGCUCCGAGUGAACCCGAAAUAGGCCAUGGACUUGGAUCUACCAAAUGAUAAGAAUGCCUCUGAGAUUCAAUCAUAAACCACUUUGUCUCGGUUAUAUGUAAACCCCCACCCUUCACCCCCACCGGGCUCUUUAUCUUUGGGGUCUAAUUUUCUUUCUAUCUGACAGGACAAACUAAUAGGAAGGGAUGGUUCUUUAAUUGCAUUGAUAGAAGUUCUAACUAGAAAAGGAUCUCUCUAUUACUUUGAGAAGAGAAUCGUUGGUUUGACCGACGGAAAGCAUGGGAGAAAGAAAGAUGCACAAACAGACUUAAAUCUAUGAAAAGAAAGAAGAGAACGAACGAACGGAUUUAGUUCUGGGGAGGUUGGUCCUCGUGUGCAUGGAUGAGCACACGGAGACACCAAUUAAGGAACGCACGGCGUGCGCUUUCCUCCUCUAUCCCUGCUAAUUCCGUAUUAAACCUUCCCCUCCACUCGGCGAUUUGCCGAUCCCGAAUGGAAUCAGCUCUUCGACCGAGAUGGAUUUGUCGUUGGAGGGCUCGUAUUUCCUGAUCCAGGCGCGCGGUUAAUUCCCGACGCCGGCCUGGAUCCCCCUCGUUCUGGAGGGCCCGUUCCGUCCCCUCGACCCGUUCCCAAGACUCCGACAAUAGGCGAUUCCGUGCUCGUAAAGAGUCGGAACUCUCUAUUUCGUUGUACAACGACGAUACGGAGGGAUUGAGAGCAAUCUCGUUACCCUCCGUAUCGGCAGGCAGGUCUACCUGUGGAACGACAAAUAAAGUGGGGGUUUCCAGAAACCCAAGAAGACAUAACGAGAGUCUCAAUAAUAAGAUAACUCGCCCUAACUUCGGGGCUAUGAAAACAAGAAAGUAAUAUACCACACCCAAACAACUUUUAGUGCCAUAUCUUCCAAAACCCAGUUUUGUACCAUCCGGUUUGCAACCCCUACUACAUCUGCCUUUACGAUAUUUACUAUAUUUCGUACGUUUCGGAUAUAGCACGUCUCCCUUUUUUUUGACUAUAUGAAAUCCACACUUUGACACCUGAGAUUCCGUAACGAGUAGAUACUUCCGCAGGAGCAUAAUCGAUUUUAUGGUUAAAUACAUUACGAGAAGUUUUUCUAUGCUUAUAGCAUUUAUACUUUCGUGGUCGCCCUCACUGAACCGACUUGAAUCUGAACUACGAUUUUGUUCCCCAACUUGCUUGAUUAACGGGCAUUUUCGGGGACUAGCCCGCUUCUUCAUUAAAAAAGAGGGCGAUUGCCCGGUCCUUGGAAUCAUUUUAGAUCGUAUCCCCAAGCCUGCCUCCACUUUCUUAUGUGAAAGAGGUGCUUGCUUUAUGAGACUGAAUGGAAACCUUCUUUCUUCGAUCAGAAUACGAAUAAGAUCAAAAAGGCCAUCAUUGGGGCAAACAAUGCAAUAGCUUCG
rnacentral:lncRNA from 1 species